rnacentral:lncRNA from 1 species
UUUUUUUUUUAGUUUGUUUCAAAAAUGAAUAACCCAUUUUUCUUUUGCGGCAACACUUUACUUUCAAUUUCCAAAAUGAAUGACCCAUUUUUAUUCCUGGGAACACUUUACUUUAAGUUUUCCACGUGUGACAUGUUUAAGAUCAUAAGAUUAAAAGACGUUUUGAUACAUUUGAUAUAAUUUUAAUUUAGAAUCACAAAAUUCAAAAUUUUAUUUAUCUUCUUAAACUUCGUAUGAAGUCAAACUCGAUCCUUUUUACGAAAGGGUGGAAGUAUUUUGACUCUUUUUUGACUCUUAUAUCGUUUAGGAAAAAAGACGUUUAAUUUGCCAACCCAUUAUCAGUAAUUUUGUCUUGGAAAAAAUUGUGGUAUAUAUUUUCACUAAACGACAAUACACAGUCUCCCUGUGUGACGAACUCAUCCAGUUUCUGUGCCACUGCCACUUUUAAAAUUCACAAGCUUUACAUUGCUUCCUCUCUACACUUUCCCCUUUGCCCUUUUUUCUUCUUCUUUUCUGUUUGCUGCUCUUUUUUGACAGCCAAAAAGAUCAGUUUUUGAGUGACACCAAGAGUCUAAAACAAGAAAGAAAGAGUUGCUAUGGAGAGAAAAUCGAUAAUAAUUUGUGGGGUUGUGGGAUUUCUAGGGCUAUUAUCUGCCGUUACUGGUUUUGCUGCUGAGGCCACAAGGAUUAAGGUAGUUCGUUUUUUCCCUUUAAAGGAAAAACCCAAGAUUCCAUUUUUUUGUUGUGGGGUUUCUAAUUUUUUGCUUUCUUUGUUUGUUUAUGGUCGGGGAGGUUUAGUUCAUCUGUUUAAUCUGGAAAACUGGUAUGGUUAUACUGUGUUCUUUAAUUUUUGUCAAAUCUUUGGUUCAAAUGAACUGAAAGGUUAAUUUACUGUUGUAAUCUAAGACAAAGAAUACUAAUAGAUGUAGGGUUAAAUGAAGAUUUCUUCAGUUCUUUGUCAUUUGGCCGCUUUACUUUUGUGGUUAUGAACAAUGAACAACACAAAUUCUAUUCCUUUUAGUUUCAUUAUAAUUCCAAGCUACUCCUACAGAAAAAAGAGAAUUUUUUUGCUCUUGGACUAUUAGGUGAGGUCAAAUUUGAGCUGAAACUACAUUCUGCCCUUGAGAUGUUUGCUCCUAGUAGAACUUAGUGGUCAUGUGAUGGCCAAUGUAAGGGAACCCAUCAUCUCUAAUUCAAUUGUUAAAGACUGGAUUCUUAUCAUCAAGUUUGCUCUCCUUUGGAGAAAAAACUUUUUGGGCUGAGUCUGGGCGUAUUCAGCUGAGUUUCCAUUGGAAACAACCUCUCUCUGCCUUCACAAGGUAGGGCAAGGCUGUGUACACAUUACCCUCCCCAUACUCCACUGUGUAUGUUGUUGUUUGUCUGGGCGCAUUCAGCUGAAUUUGAAUGGUUUCUGAAUGUUAAGGCUUUGAGCAUGUAGAUAUAGAUAGAUAUAUGCUCACCUUGGUGUCACUCUCACUCCAUGAUUUGGUUUCGUCCCUGCUGAUCUUGGUUGCAGUUUCAUAUGAUUGUUCCUUGAAUCAGGGAAUAGUAUGUUUCACUUGAGUGGAGAAGAUUUCAACUUAUAUUGGACAAUGCAAGCAAUAUCUCACAACCUGCUGACUUUCUCCGCUGUCCCCUACAACAUACCUGCCGGCGAGGUAUCUCAGGGGUAGGGAAUGAAUAGUUUCUAGGGGGUGAGUGGAUGAAAUGUGCAAGUAUAUUGGCAUUCAGAUCAUAACACUCAUUGCCCUGCUAUCAUUCAUAAGUCAUAACUGCAUGGGAGGAGUUUUAUGGGUGGGGUUUGGUAGAUGGAGAGAGUGCAAAUGGAUUAAGAAAAAGAGACCUUUGAUGGUAAUUUGUUUGCAUGCUAAAUUCCAUUGGAUGAUUACAGGAUUUGAGUUACUUUCAUUUCAUGUUUGCUGUUGGGAAUUUUGGUUCCGUAGAACCUGGUUUGCUCAGAGGGUCGUAGUGACUAAUUUAUAGUACUAUCCAAUUAUUCUUCAGGGUUCUCAGGUCCAGGUUCCGACUCCUACAGAAUGUGUAUAUCCAAGGAGUCCUGCACUGGGUCUUGGAUUGACUGCUUCUGUGGCUCUUAUGGUUGCUCAAAUAAUUAUCAAUGUAGCAAGUGGAUGUGUCUGCUGCCGGAAAGGUCAACAUCAAUCAGCAUCUAAUUGGACGCUAGCACUAAUAUGUUUUGUUGUAUCCUGGUAAGUUGGUUAUGGAUUGAUUAUUAAUUUCAAGUUCAGUAGUCAUUAUUGCAAUACAUUUAGAUAAAAAGGAAUAUUCAUUUGUUUCUCUGUAUCCUUGUAAUUUGGCUUACUGCUAAUUAGAUUCAAGUUCAGUUGGUCAUCAUUGCAGUGGAUCAAAUGGAGGUUGACCCUAAUAACAGAUAGUAAUUGUUGUUCUAUAGUUUCUGUGAGAAUUUUGAUUGUAUGUGUUGGGAUGUAUCAGAAACCUUAUAUAUAUGCAGUCGAGGCAAAGUAGAUGGUCAUUAUUCCUACAUUCAGAAGUUGACAAGCUUAUUCUGUGUUGUUGCCCCUUCGACAUCACAACACUUUUUCUUCCUUUUUUCUGAGAAAGAAAAAAAGCACCCUUUGACAUCAGAUUAAUUUAAACAAAUCACUAUUUUAUUUUUUCUGAUUUGUCCUUUACAAUGUCAAAUCUUGACCAAAGAAUGAAAAUUGGACCUAUUUUGUCUUUUAUAGAAGGAUGAUAAGAUAUCUAUCAAUGUUCUUGAAGCCAAUAAACUGCCAUACAGCUAUAGUGCUGGCUCACAUACUAGUAACAAAUGCAUGUGCAAAUUUUUUUAGCAAUUUUUGGAAGUAUCAUAAUUUUAAGGCCAAAGUCAUCUACGGCCCCUCAAAGUUGUCCUCAUUAUUCAUUUAGACACCUCAACUACACCUAGUACCUAUUGAACACCUCUACCACCCCAGAUUUGAACCGUCUAAGCAUUUUUUGCCUACAUGGCAAAUCGUUUGUGAGUCACGCAAAUGGAGCGCGUGAAUUGUUUUUUCUCCAAUAUUUUAACGUUAAAAGAUUUAUCUUUAAAAAAAAUAAAUUAAAUUAGCAUCUCUUCUUCUUCUUCUUUGACUCAACCACCAUUGCAACCACCUUCUCACCACCGCAAACACCGGUGUCCCACCAUUAAAUUUCAUUCCCCUUCUUUCUCGAGCUGCAAUCAUUCUUCUUCUCCACGCCACUUUUGUUUUUUAAUUAGAUCUGCCGUUACCAUAUCCAUACUUCUCCUUUCCUUUCUUUCUCCAAUCAUCUUCUUCCCCUUUUUUUGCAGACCAUCAUCUUCUUUCCCUAUUUUUUUAGGCCAUCAUCUUCUUUCUCCUUUUUAACCAGCCAUUAACCCACCUCCCACCAUUGGCACCACCUCAUUUUUCUCCAAAUCUAUCAUUGUCAAUAUCUUUCUUUUUAGCCUUUCAAACAAUCAAUCACAAAUUUUAAUUGUUCAUCGAAAAACGCUGCCACCACACAUCUCUUUCUUUCUGCCAAAUCAACUCAAACAUGAAUCGAAUCUAAGCUUGAAAACAAAAACAAAUUAAAAAAAGAAGUAGAAAAAUUUAGGAGAUUUAAGCUUUUUUUUAAAAAAGGGAAGAAGAUGAAGUGGGGGGAGUGGGCAGGUCGGAGGCGGCAACAUACAUAGUUUAGGAUUUUAGUUUAUUUUUUUAAUUAUAAUUAUUUUGGAGCCCAAAAGACACAUGGCUUCUUUUAAGACACGUGGCUUCUUUUAAUUAGUUAGUUUGCCACUCUUGACAUUUUUUUGCUGAUUAUCAAAAUGUGUCUAAUAGGAACAAUUUUUGUAUAGGUAAAAGUGUUCAAUAGGUAAAAGGUUGAAUUGGAGUGUCUAAGUGAAAUAUACGGACAACUUUAAGGGGCUGUAGAUGACUUUGGCCUAAUUUUAAAAUGUGUUGUGACUUGUGGAUAUUAAUAAUGUUGGACUUUUACUCCUCUUUUAAAGGAUAGUAAUUAAUCCGAAUAUACCUUAUCGUUCUUCUGACUUCACCGACCAAUGGUACGUUUCUGGUCCUACAGAUGCAAUUUCCAGUGCACUGUGUUGAGGUGGUGAUGUGCAAGGGGGAUGGACAGAAGCCUACUUCCUUUUGUCUCCUUUUUUUUAUCCUCAGCCUAUUCAAACUUCAUGGAAUGUAGUCCUUGUAGAUUAACCUCUGCAGUAUGUGAUUCCAAAAAUGUAGUCUAGCUGAUGAUGUUGGACCUCAAAUUUUUGUAUUGAACUUGAGAUAUCAUUGCCCCUCAAAUCAGAUUUUUUUCUUUUAAUUUUGCAUUUGUUUUGGGGGUCUUAUGCAUCGGAAUAUACUAUCAAAAGUUAUUUCUCUGGUGAACCAAUUUGAUCUUACAUACCAUCCGAAGAAGCCCUAAUACAGGUUUACUUACCACUUAUGCAGGUUUACAUUUGUUAUAGCAUUUCUAUUGUUGCUAACAGGCGCAGCACUGAAUGAUCAGCAUGGUGAUGAGAGCGUGUAUUUCGGCAACUACUAUUGCUAUGUUGUAAAGCCUGGAGUAUUUGCUGGAGCUGCUAUCUUGUCCCUUGCCAGUGUUGCUCUUGGAAUCACUUAUUAUCUUUCCUUGACAUCUGCAAAGAACAUCAACGAUCCAUGGCGUCCACCAGCUCCAAGUCAAGGUGGCAUUGCAAUGGGACACCCACAAUUUCCUUCACAGACCAGUCAGGAGCCAGUUUUUGUGCAUGAAGAUACUUAUAUGAGACGCAUAUCUACAUGAUUGUCCCUAGACCCAUAUAAACAUAAGGAAUGGAGGUGUUAAGGGUGUAAGAAUCGUGAUCUGUAUGUGAAACACUCUCCUUUGUGAGCUAUAUCAUACUAUUUUUUUUGUUUUUUCAUUUGCUAUGGCAGUGAUAGCUUAAUUUUGUCGGAAAUUUGUAGCCUGUAGCAUGUAUCUGGAGGUGAUGUGUGUAUGUAAUCCAACAAUGCAACAUACUCUUGUAUGAACUCUGUAGUUUCGAAUAGCUAUCAUUAGGAAAGCUGUCACUAUUUGGCUUCACCUACUAUUUGAACUUCAGAAUUAUUUUCCUGGACAAUUGAAUUUAUGUUUAGGAGGAAUUUGAGUACUCUUAGAAAUACAAAAUGCACCUUCUUUAAUUUGGAGCAAAACCCCCAUUUUUUAUAUGCAUUUGAUUACCUUGGGAACUGGUUUGAACAAAUCAUUUAUGUAGAUUGUUUUACCUUUAACAAUACUAAGUGUACGAAAAUGUUGUGGCAUACAGGAAGUACUUGACCUUUCCCUUCAUAAUAGUGACAUACUCCCUCCGUCCCAUUUUUUUCUAUAAAUAGCUGGACCAUAAUAUUUGUUAUUUUAUAAAAUUUAUGCAUAAAUUACCAUAUUUUGCCUAUACCUUUGAUAGAAUAGUUAAUUAAUCUUGUCAUUUAUUAAUAAAGUUGACUUUAAGAAAACAUUAAAUAAGGAUAGAAAGGUAAAAUUACAUCAUUUCUUAAUGCAGUGCAAAGUAAAAAAGUGACAUACAAAAUGGGAUUGAGGGAGCAGUAUAAGCCAGCUUGCACAUACUUCAAUAAAAAUGGCUUUUUUACUUUUCAACUUCGUUUCCUUGGGUGGAGUGGAUUUCAAAAUUAUUUUUUUUAGAGGGUGAUUACAUGAAUGACCUUGCAAGUGUGUGGUCUUGAACUUUUGGCCACGGUUGUCCCAUGGGCAAAAACUUCAAGGUCAACAAGUUUUGUCUCUUGAUCUUGAAAGGCCAUGGGGGUCGUUAAAGAGCACUAACUAUCAAAGUGACAGGUGUAAUUCCUACUUUUUGAAUGGCUGAGGGAGGAGGAAAACUUUAACUUAAGAUAUAAGGUGAAGUUAAAAAAAUAUGCUUUCGUGAAAAAGACAUACCAACCUGAAAAAAAGAAAAGAAGUUGGUUGUUAGCCUUUGCGCAGUGAUGAUGACCUGUAAAAAUAGAUGUUUUACUAGUUUGGUUAUUAUAUCAGUGAUGGGGACCUGUAAUUAGAAGUUGGGAAAAAAAUGGUAACUUGAUGGGAGGGGAAAAUAUUAUCAAAGGAGAUAUAGUUUCAAAAUAAAUCAUGUUGUAUUGUAUUGAGAAAUACAUAUCAUCAUCAGAAAACUGUACAAGGGGAUAUUCCUGGACAGGCCUUUUUUGUCACUAUUGGUGUACAGGCCACUGUAAUAGAAUAAAAAAAAGAUCUCUUUUUACAUACAGCAGCUGGUCUGGUCCAGGAUACCAAUCUAAGUUAAUGAAAUUAGAACUGAAUUUACAAUUUGUCUUCUUCAGUCCGCAGUCCUUUUGUUCCAGUAUAUAUGUUCUUCAGUCAGCAGUCUUUUGUUCCAGUAAAUAUGUAUUAACAAGACUGUACAGAAAUGUUCAGCAUGCAAUUUUCUGUUGUCAUUCAGCGAAUACCACGGUUCAGGUGAGCGAAUGGUUCAGGAUUUGCCUUUGGUGCAGGUUUUGCUACUUCAGGAGUCCCAAAUACAUUCCAGAAUCUGAGAGUUUCAUCUCCAGCUGCAGAUGCAACUGUGCAACCAUCUGGACUCUGCAAAACGAUAAACAAGAAAAUGAAUACCUUUGUAUAAACACAACAAUGAUGCAAAAGAUACAACAAUGAUGAAAAUUUACCUGAGCCAUGAAAAGUACUCUGGAUGUGUGGCCAGUUAGCUCAGCUACCUUUACCAUAGAAGGGUAUUUCCAAAGGGUGAGCUGAUUCUGAGUGAAACCAUGUGAACUUAGCAGCUCACGUUCGUUCUUGUUCCACAGUAGGGAACACACCUGAGAUCCUGUAUCAAUUGAGUUCAAGCAAGCACCAGUGUGGGUAUUCCAGAACUUUAUGCACCUGUCGCUUCCACCACCACCAGAGGCCAAUAAGUUACCCUGGAAAGGGCACCAAGCAAGGGCUUUAACAGCAGCUGUAUGAUCUUCCAGCCUGUGAAGCCAUUGAGUCGUAGAGUUGGAAGAAGCCGUUGAUCUGUCCCAUAUGUGGAGGAGGUUGUCAUUUCCACCACUAGCUAAUUGCUGGCCAGAGGCUGACCAUUUUAGACCACAAACUUCUUGAUGAUGUCCUUGGUAAGUGUCAACAAUGGGAUUCCUUAUUCUCACAUCAUUGUUUAUGAUUUGACCAUCCAUUCCCCCAGUUGUCAAAAUGUGAUUGUUCCAAUCUAGAGCACCAACUCGGGAUCGGUGACCACCUUUCAAAGUUCUCAACUGCAUCAAAGAAUUAAAACAUGUUAGCAUAUGAAUAUUUGUUUUUGUACUAUGUAACCAGAAGAAUUAAGGAAACAUACCAGUCGAUUUGCUGUAGUAUCCCAAAGCUGAACUUCAGAAUUGUUAAGACCAACAGCAAUAUGUUGACCAUCAGGAGCCCAUUUAACACUUGUAACAGGGCCAUUUUCUUCAUCAACAGUGACUAGCUCUGAAGUAGCACCAUCAGAUGCAUCCCACAGAUACACAGUGCCGCCAAGAGCAAUAGAAAGAACAUUGCUUUUGCCCCAGUCUAACAAAUUCAAAUAGUAAUCAUCCAUGAUAUCUGGAGCAUCUAAUGUCCUCUCAGAGGUCUGCAUAUAAAACAAAUUGAACCUUUAAAAACUUUUCAUCCAAAAAAGUUAUCUUCGGUGCAGAUUGUGCUUCUUUGCAACAAUUGGAAUUUGGUCUAGGAAAAUGCAACUACCUGAGGAAUGUAUCGACGGGGCUUUGCAGUUUUGUUCUGUUGAACAGAGGCAAUCUCAUUAGGAAUGGCCUCAACAGGAGUUGGUGGUUUGUUCUUGAACGCCAGAAUGCGAGUCCUGUUCAUGUUGAAAGUUUCUGCAAGUUGCUUCCUGUAUGCCUCUCUGGAGGGAGAACUGACAGCUGGGUUUUCCUUACCUUUCCUUCCCUCUGUCAGCAUGUAAUGUGCAUAGUCGAAAUCCAUCGCUGAUCGAUUUGGAAUAAACCUAUCCAACUGUUAAAAGACAACAAAUCAACAGUUGGUGAGAUAUUCAUGUUUCCAUCCCCAAAGAAAGCGGGAAAACAGUUUCUGACAAUCGAAAACCCCAGCCCCCACCGUGUUCACGUUUCAGCCCCCAUUCCACCCAAACCACCCACAUAAUUUGACACAAGGCAAUAACAGAACAAGGGCAUAUCAGUGAUGCAUCAGAUCAAAAGCAAAAUUGGCAAAUUAUUGAAAACCCAUAUCCUCAUUUUAUCAAAAUCCCCUUUAUUGACAAGAUGAAUUCUUGAGAUACAGGGUAAUCUUAGUAGCUUAGUUGGGGUUAGCUACCUGAACUUUCACUUUAUUAGUGAGAAUUCAAUUCCCCACCUCGUAAUCCCCUCCCCCGCCCCCAAUUCCCAUCUAAUCAAACACAAUUAAUGACUAAUAGAGAGAAUGACUCAGAGUUUGGAAUGCAUACAUUAUCACGAGAAUUUUUACGUUGAAGAAGUUGUUCCUGAAGAGGGCAACGAGACUGUUUCUUAUUUGACGACGCAGAGUAAGAUCCUGCAUCCAUUAGUUAGCACCAAAAAAAAAAAAAACACAAAUAUCGACAAGAACAAAGAUAACAAACAAAAGAAUCAAAAACCUUGAUUAACAAACCCUGCAAAAUCAAAAUCAGAUUAUAGACAAACAAAUUCAAAUGAAACAGUUAUAAUUGCACAGAAAAAUAUAAAUCACGAGAUGAAAUCGCUUGCUUGUUCGCUUGAGAAACUUAGAGAGAGAAAGAGAGAUAGAGAGAGAGAGAUUGAUGAAGUUCUUCUCAGUUCAUUGAUGAAUUUAUACAAAUUUCUUCAGAAGGUUUUUGUCUGCGGUAUGAGGAUUCUAGGGUUUUGUCUCCAACGGCUAUAUUUCAUUAGAUUAGCCGUUGUAAUUUACUUAUUUAUUUGGACUAAAUUGUCUAUCCCCGUGGAGAGAGCACUCUGCAUAUAUCUAGGGUAGUUGGGUAAUUUGAUAUUUAUUUAUGUCCACACUGCUAAAUACUUGCCCAAACAUAAUAUUUACAUCAAAUUGAGUAAUUUAAUGAGAGAACACAUUUUAUUAUUUAUUCGCCAUUAAGUAUAAAAUGUGUAUUGAAGAUAUAUAUGUUUUGCAUUCAUUAAUUUGAUAUAAAUAACAGGUGUAAAUAGAUUUUAUUGUAAUCCACCCUACAAGAAGGUCCAUAACUGCUCUUAAAUUUUUGUGACAUGAUUUAAAUUUUCCCUAUGUUAAAAGUUGGGUUAGAUAUACUCUUCGCCUUACAAGAUUGAUUCAAAUAUUUCCUUAUUUAUUAAGAAUAAAACUUUGUAACACGUGGAUUAUACUUCUGUGACAACGAUCAUUUUUUUUUACUGAACUAGAAAGUUCUUUCUAUAGUUAUUGAAACUCGAGUUAUCUGAAUUGCCUGUUGGCCUACUUCUAUUUGUCGAGAUGUAAUCCAAGCAGGUUCAAGUGCCUGAAGAGCAGAAGAAGCUCACUAUUCGGUGAUAGCAACAUCGUCUUCUUCUUCAUAACCUAUGAAUCUAUACCCUAACUUCAAAUAAACCACUCUCAAAUCGAGCCACGAAAUCUUCACCUCUAUCGAAACUUCAUCAAUACAACUAUAAAACAAUGGCAAAAAUGAAGGUGUGAGAUAUUGGGUGAUUUUUGUGUAUUUCUUACGUGAGUGUCGUUGGGGGUGAAGUGGUGGUGGGGUAACGGUUCUUCAAGUGAUAUCUGAAGAGUGAAGAAAAUUUAUUGUUAUGGGGAUGAUUGAUUUAAAAUAAUGAUGAUGGUGGCUAAGAUAAAAUUGAAAUCACACAAUUUCAUGUAUAAAUCUAGACCUUUUAGGAUAGUUGAAGAGCAAAUUUGAAUGAAUGUCACGUCAAAAAAAACAAAAAAGAAAAACGUCACGUCAAAAAAUAUGUAAUGAACAAAGAAGCGUGAAUUAUACAAACAUAAUGCAUUGCCCGUUUGGGUAACACACUUAUGUACAUAACAUUCCAAAGUACUAACAAAUAAACUUAUCACAAAAGAAGUACCUUCAACUGAGUCAAAUUCUUCGGAACAUAGCUGAAUUUGAGCAACCCCAUACCAUGCUAAGGCAAGCUGGCGGAUAUUGCAGAGAAAAGGUGUAUUUUUUUUCAGCAAGUAAGUUGCAGAGUUAAAGCCACAAAAGUUUGUGGCACCAAGUCAUAGUAUAGUUUCUGUUAUACAUGUACAUUCAUAAUCUCAUAUAUACGAAAAAGCACCUAAAACCUGUCUAUCCAACCUCAGAGCACCACACGAUCCCACGCCUUGAAAACUAAGGAGAAAAAUUACAUAAGGAAACCCAAUAUACAACUAAGUUAACAUACUAAACAGAGUCCCAAAGCAGAGCCUACCUGCUUUGCCUUUAACAUUCAAGCCGGGGGACAUGAGACUGCAUUUGCCUGGACAAAAAGAUUAGCAAGAGAUGGAUGUACUAGCAAGUAUAAGAUUAUUUCUUGUAAAAUUUUACAUGUUACUUGUAUAUUAUUGCCUGUAUUGCCUUCCUUUAGCCCAUGCUACAAAAUUAUUAUGGACGACGGCCCACUAACUCCUCAUUCAACCUACUGAAGACUAACUUUACCGGAAUACAAGCUACAACAGUUGGUAGUGUCUCUUGUUUGAGUGCCCCAUCCACUUGAUAACUGUUGGAAUCACUACUUUGUUUCUGCUGUGAGGCUAUCGAAGAAAGCGUCCUUAUCUUUUGGUUAGAAGAUAAACUAACCUUUUUCCCUGGCUUUCUUGAAAAUGUUCUUUCUAUGGGAGGCCGGGAAGUGGCCUUCCUCGUAGUGCUUGCCUUCUGUACAGUAGCUUUUCGAACAUUUCUGUGAUGAUCAGAACCCUGGGCAUGCUUGAUUCCUUCAGGAUUAUCUUUUGCUGAUGAUACAUGUGGCCUUGGAACACGAACAUUGGCAGUCCGGCGAGCAGUUCUCCAUGUAGGUUGGAGUGAUGGAUCAUAACCCAAUGUUUCUGGAUAAUUAUCAAUAUCCCCAAGGAAGCUGUCAGUAGAACCGUUUGCAAGGGUUUCAACUUGGAUAGGAUGCCCUAUUAUUGCCUGCCCAUUUAGCUUACUCAUCAAUGAAAUCAUAGGCACAUGUUCUCUCUGAUAACUUGACUGGACUUUCAGAUCUACAUCUACCAGCAUGGUCCUGCCACCAACAUGACGGUAGCUAUUCAUAGGAUCAAAAUAUUCGUCAGCCUCCUCCCAGUAUCCUCUAAUUGAAGGUUGAUCAUCCCAAGACAAAUCCCCCCAACUCAACAUGUUUCGGCUAGCCCUACCCGGAGCUUUAGAUCCAUAUCCAGCCAUUUGGACACUGGAGUUUGUAACCACAUCAUCCUGAAGACAAGCAUAACCUCCCUUUUCUUUGAAAGUGGACAUAUGACUGGGUCUCCUUGCAAGAUCUCCAUCAAAAGAAUCAAUAGGCCUCUUGUUAAGACUUCGGUUAUUCCUUUUCCCUUUUAGUUUCCAUUUAGACACCCCAAAACCAGAAGAGACAGAUUCCUGAUGACAAGGAUGAGAAGUGCCAUCUGCGAGUGUAAAAUCAUCAACCUCCUCGCUGCUCAUGCUACCAUGUUCAGGUAGUGCUUCAGAUCUUCCAAGAUAUUUGGGUUCUAAUUCUAUAGAUACAGCACCAUCUGCACAUCAAACAAACUACAUUAGCCUACCUAAACAAAUUAUUCUUCACUUGCCUUCUCUAUUUAAUGGGAGAAAAAAGGCCACCUGAAGAUGGGUGAUCUCAUUUAUUGAAGUGCCAUAGGAAUUUCAAGCAGCAAUAUGCGCGGAAGAAUCGAUGUAUAAUGUAUUUUUCCUUCAUAAGCUAAUGUGCAAUGUAUAUAAGGGUAAUGGGUUGUAAAAUGGAACAUGGACCCAGGGGCGUCAGAAAAGGUAUUUUGGAGUUCACGGCAACAAUAAUGCAUUAUACCACCCAUUUAACACCAAAAUUAUGAUAAAAAAUGAUCUGCACCAUACCUAACUUCUAGCAUUGUAUAUCGAGAACUAGUAACGAUGCGAGUUCACCAAGAAGUCAAUCCCAAGUAUGAAUAUGAAGCAAACUACCAAUAAACUAUUCUAUGGUAGAAGAACAGGAAAAUUGAGCAAGCAGCAAACUGUAAUAGUUACACACAACAGAUACUGCUACAUUUUUCGUAUAAUAAGUCAACAGAUAUGGAUGGAAGGGAACUCGACAAAGUAACUUCAAGCAUUUUUUUCCAGGAUAAGUGUUAUUGAGAAGGGUAAAGCAUUUUUUCCUGGAUAAGUGUUAUUGAGAAGGGUAAACCACUACAAGUUUAAAACCUGAAUACAAAAAGGUCACAACCCGCUGUUCCACCUAGCAACAAGAGUCAACUAGAAUUGGACAAAUCACAAAUAGUACUUGUGCUCACCUAAAAGGCUAAGUCCUUGUAUGUUGAGAGAUCAUACUGCAUUCUGUGAACUUUCAUACAGGUUCUUCCCUUUCUCAAAAAAAAAAGAAAGAAAGGUUGUUCUCUAUGUAAAACCUUUUUUUUCAAGUCUUUUUCGUCUUUCAGAUAUUUUGUACUAAGCACCCUCUUCAUACUAAUUCUUAAUACAAAGUUUGAUCAGUUACUUUUCAAAGAAACAUACGACUAUAUGGGUGUAAAAUUCAAGGAAGUUGCCAAAAUCAAGCUGAUAAUGUAAAACAGAGUAAUAUGGGUCCAUUCUGGCAAUCCCUUCCAGAGAAGUUGUCAAGAAAGGGACCUAAAUUAUUCUAUUGGAUGCUUCCAAGUUUUUUCAUAAAUUUUAAUGGAUGUUUCUGAUUCUCUUUUCAAUAAACUCCACCGAAGAAUGUACCGCCGCAUAACAGAAUAUAAAACACCACAACUCCAACCACAUAACAUUAGUUAAGACAAGAAAAUCAUCUGCUUCAGCAGGUAGGUCAAAUCUUUCGGAUGGCAUUGUGUCUUAGAUUCUAUCAAUGCACAAGGAAGUCCCUAAUUGAACUUGCACAUGCUUAGACAACUCCAUUGGGCUUGCUCACUGGUUAUGAAGAAGUUUCUACCCUAAAAAUUCCCAGUACAAGCCUUUUGACUCAUCUGCCAACAAGAAUGACAAUGGUCAUGGGAAAACAUUUGUACUAAUAGAAAGAACCAGAAAAUGGAGUACUAGUUAUAAUUUGUUUUGUAGUUCCGGUGUAUAAGUUAUAAUUUGAUGCACAGAAAGGGAUGAACACAAAAGAAGAAAUGUUCCUUGAGAAAAAUUCAGCACUUUCUACUAAACAAAGAGUAGUUCAUGCAAAAAGUGACUCAGGCAUUAAAAAAAUGACAUAGUUCAGCUAAUAAUAUCUUCUUUCAUUCCCAUUGUUAAUAAUAUUAUUUACCUUAUCCAAAAAAAUAAAAUAGUUCAGCUAAUCCAUGUACUUCAAGGACUCCAAAUAUUUAACUUUUGGAGCGAUAAGGAUCAAAGAUUUCAAUAGUAUAAUACUGCUUCAUUUCUUAACUUGUAAUUUCUUUUAUCUUCAACUGGAGAAAAAUAAUAAGUAAAUGAUGCACAUAUAAGGGUCAAGGGUGAAGAGAAAAAAUGGAGAACCUGAGAGUGUAGCCAACUCAUCAUCGGUAUCUGAUUCCAGAGAAUCUGACUCGGUUGAAUCAGUUUCAGUGAACUCUGUUGAACCACAACCAUUCUGUUCACACAAGACAACAGGAUGAGAACAAUUGUUAUCUUCAGUCUUCAAUGUUGGAAAUUCAAUCUGGGAUUGAUGACUCUCGUCAACACAUAAACUGUUGCUAGGUUCAACUGCCAGAUACCUAAAACUGAUAUUCUUUGUAAGUGAUUCAACUCGAGGCAGUUCCUUUCCUGUACCAGAGGUGGAAAUGGAAGCUGGCUCCGGCUGAGGGAGAGAAACUGGCAAAUUUUCAGAACUCUGCAAAACAUGAGCAAGAGGGCGGCGCCUAUCGCGCCUCUUGACAAGGACGUCUUCUACCAACGCAUCAUCUGAUGGUUUCCUUUUCUCCAAUGUGCUUCUUUUCUCAACAUUAACCAGGCCUUCUGCAUUAUUACUCUCAUCAGGAACAGCACGAGCACUGCUAUCAAGCACAAGUUGGUCUGUACCACUUAAAGCAAGUGAUAGAGAAUGAUUAUGUUCAGAAGGAGCAGUACUAAGACCAAAAUCUUGUAAACCUCUCAUUCUCGGAAGUACACCAGAAUUAUCAACAUCCCCACUAAGUUGAUUUCGAUCUUUGGGUACCUCUGUGGACGAAAUAUUUAAUGCUUUCUUGUCCUCAAGGGAGGCAACAGAUCUAGUAGAAACUUGAUGGCACUUAGGUCCUAUGUGUCUCCCAUUCCCAUUUUCCGGGUAUUCUGAUGAUGUCAAAGACUCUCUUCCAACAAAAUCAGCAGUAGAUUUAUUGUUCUUAUCAGUGGAUGAAUAACCUGCUCCAUAUUUUUUGUCUAACAAAAGCCUCUCAAGUUCAAGAGCAUGAAGUAUAGCAUCUUCUCGACGUGCAUAUUUCUCUCUUUUCUUUGGAGGCAUACCUUGGGAAGCUUCAGCCCGUUUAAUACAAUCAUCAAAUUCACCACAACGAAAUGCUUUGACACGUUUUGACUUCUCCAAGUUAUACCAAUCCCUGGUAAGAAAGAGAAAUACCAUGACAGACCAUACUACGAGUAUAAGCUGUUUGUACAUAUUAGCCACAAGUAAUAAAGAUAAGAGGGCAUUGGGAACGAAAAUGCAGUAUUCGACCAAUUACUAACAGCAUUUCUAGAAAUUAAGAGUGAACAGAGCAAUUAAAAUAUGGCAUUAUUAGUCAUCUUUGGCUUCUUUGUUCUUACCUUUUUCAUUUAUCUUGAACAUGUGAAAUUUUACAGUUCUUUUACCUCUUAUCAUCACAAUUGACACUUUCAAAGGUCUCAACCAUUAAAAAGGCAGUAUGGGACCACAAUGAACCCACUUUCCAGGAUAAGCAAACAGCAGUUUGUCCAACAAAAGUAAACCCCAUCACCAGGCCAAAUGGUUAACAAACUUUACCAGUAAUUCAAGCAAAAGGCAGACUCUUCUCUUAGAGAGAACAAGCAAAAAAGGAGAUUAAGCCCAAAUGUCUGGCCUAUUACAUGGGUAAAACAUCCUUGUGCAUAAAAAUGAAUUAAGAGAUAUUCCAGUACCAAAAAGAGUUAUAUAUUGAAUAAAUUAAAUUUAAUCCCAAAGUUAGACCUCUGUAACAACUACGAAUGUUUAGGGUCCCCACUAAAAGUAAGUUUUCCCCUAGCAUCACCAUAGCCUGGCUGAGAGAUUUGAGGAGAAGUCCAUCCCCCAUCCCCAUUUUUUUUCUAAAUCAGUAGUAAAGCCCACUCCUGUUUUCCAAAUUCCAAGCAAGGUAGCAACUUUUCCCUUUCUUCCUCUCACGCUCUAUCUUCUUUUCCUCUCAAUUGCGUGGGAGUGGGAGUUUUAGAGCUUCCAGAGUUUCAGUCAAGUUAGACUCAAUCAAUAAACUUUGCAUGCUUUGGUCUCAACCAAUAGAUUGUGAGAAAAAGGCCUAUCAUGAAUAUAAACUGUGGAAAAAUGCGAUCCAUUUGCUAUCAAAGAAGAAGAUAAACAUAGGACAUUGCCCUACCAAAAAUCUACGCACAACAUUUCCUUUCAGUCUGCACAAAGCAAAGGAAUUUCUUCAACCACUAUAAAUAAAUUUGGCAUCCGAAUCCAUCCAGUGUGUAGUGUAGCUGUUACUGAUAGCCUCCAGCUUAAGAAUCUACGCUACCAAUGCCAAAGAACUAGUGAGACCACUCAUUUUCAUCUAAUUUACCAUACGACACCCUGCCUCUUUUAAAUAUUCACGACAGUGAACCCUUCGGGGUGGCCCAGUGGUUUGAGCUUGGGACUUCCAUGUUGGAGGUCUCAAGUUCGAAACCCCUUGCCAGCGAAAGCAAGGGGUUUGCCUUCUGGGUCGUUCUCGUCGCACCAGGCUUGCCUAGUGUGGGUUACCUCUCCUAUGUGGUUUGCGAGCUAUUGCAUAGGAGCGGGGUUUUUACCCUGUGCGCACCCAAAGGGUAGCGGCNNNNNNNNNNNNNNNNNNNNNNNNNNNNNNNNNNNNNNNNNNNNNNNNNNNNNGACUUUCAUGUUGGAGGUCUCAAGUUCGAAACCCCUUGCCAGCGAAAGCAAGGGGUUUGCCUUCUGGGUCGUUCUCGUCGCACCAGGCUUGCCUAGUGUGGGUUACCUCUCCUAUGUGGUUUGCGAGCUAUUGCAUAGGAGCGGGGUUUUUACCCUGUGCGCACCCAAAGGGUAGCGGCUGCGGGUUUCCCUUGUCAUAAAAAAAAAAAAAAAAAUUCACGACAGUGAGCCUAGCUCAAAUGCCAUAUUAUACUACAUUUGCCAUUGGACGAGUGCCCCGGAGGCAGAAUUUACUUCACCUAUAUUGAUGAAGCAAACAACUCUAAUCGUCAACUAUCUGACAUACAGUUAUAACGGCAUUUAGUUCAACUUUUACCGUGAACUUAUAUUUCUCCGCAAUAAAGACUCCCAUGUUUGUCAUAAAAAACCAUAGUAAUACAAAAGUUGUUUCAAUUACAAGUCUUCAACAACCAACAUGCAGUAAUAAGGCUGAGUAAAUACUGGUGUCAUAUUUUCAACAAAAUUGAAAGUCUUUCAGAAAGAGAAAAAGAUCAUCGAAAAAGGGACUUACACACUAGCAUCUUCCCUGCCAAGAAGCUUGACUGGAGUUCCAGAUCGUGGAGACAUCAGAUGAGUAGCAGAAAGCUCAUUAGUCCCCAAUAUUUUACCAGGCCACCAUGACCCAUUUCGCCUUCGGACCCAAACAAUACUUCCAGUAUCGCAUUCCAACAUUCCUCCUUCCGUUUCUGAGCUUCCCAUUCCUUAAAACAAUUAUCUAUACAAUCUAUAAACUGCUAAAAAGAUCAACGGUUCCUUCUUUCAUAUUUUUCUCGCCAAACCCAAUUCUGUACUAUAAUUCUAAACCAAUACAACAUCAAUUACGUUUCAAAUUCAUGCAAACCAUAAAUAGUUAGGGCAACCAACUCACCUACCCGUCUUCAAAUCAACAAAACUCAACGAUCAGGCGUAGAUUAUAAGGGGCUUUGAUCGCUCACCCACCGGAAAAGAAAAGACACAACUGGAAUUGAAGAAGCGCACAACAUGAAGAUCUAAUAGAAAAAAUGAAAUUUAGGGUUAGGGUUUCCAUUCAAAAUUAGGGAAAGUUCAUAUCUAUUCGCUUCUGGUGAAAUUGAUCACCGGAGGAAUUGAAGAAUCGCAAGAAUUUAUCGCCUGAAUCUGAAUUUUGGCUUUGUGAAUUGAUGAAAGAGGAGAUUGAGUCAAGUCUAAAUCAGUGGUUACAGUAUUUGACUCACUGGUUAACAGUGAGAAGUAAACCGAACGAAUUGUUUCUGCAAAUACGGCAACGCGUGGAGCGCGUAUGUUAGGCCCACUUUAGCCUUCACUUUGUCAACUGGGCCCAGUCCAUUUUUCACGUUAAUGAAACAUAAAGAGGCCUGGUGAAAGUGAAACAUGGGGCAUUUUUGUCAAAAAUUUUAGCUAGCGUCGGUCAUAGAUUUUGGGAGCAGUUUUAGAAAACUUAUUUAUAAAUUUUUGUUUGGCCAUGAUAGGGUUGCAUUAGGGAUCGGGCUUUAGAUCGUUUCAUUUUUUACUGGUCAUGAAUAAACUGAUGCGAUAUAUCGAAGAUGAUGUGUCAUAUUGUAUAUUAUUCGUAGAAUAUUGAACCAAACAGAAGUUGUUUGGUAUGGUAUUCGGUGAGCACUAUUGGAAAAAAAUAAUCAAAAAUCGAAUAAUUGAACCAAAAUUUGAAAGAAAUGAACUGAAGAAUCGAAUGUCCACCCCUAUUUUAAGGUUGCGAAUUAGGGUAGAAGUUUAGUUGGUAGUUGAGCGGAUAAGCUUGGUGGUGGUACUUGGACAUCCAUCUUUACCGAUAGUAUUAACAUUAUUCUCGAAUUUUUUUUAGAGGGGGGAGGGGCUACUACCUAUGUUUUUCGUGCUACGAAUAUCACAUUAUUUUUUGUCAUACUAUGCAUACACUAUAUGUUGUACUGAUCUACACAUUAUUUUGUUAUUGUUACUGCUCUUAUUUCUGUAUACCCUUUUUCAAACUGCUUGUCUAUGCUUUGUCGUAAGGCGAGGUCCAUCAAAAUAGUCUAUCUAUCUCUACGAGGUAAGGGUAGGGUCUAUGUAUAUUCUAUCUUCCCUGAACUCCAUUUGUGGGAUUACAAUGAAUUUUUUGUUGCAGUAUCUUAUUGACAUUUGAUUAGAUUUUGAAAAUCAAAAUCUUUAAAUAUUUUUUCAAACUCCCCAUAACUAGUCAGUUUUUGGGUUUUUAGUACUUCCACUCAUAAAAAAAUAUUUUUUCUCAAGUAAAAUGCAUGUCCAAGCGGGAGCUAAAGUUACGAUGGUGUUUGGAUAAGCUUUUAAGUUCAUAAAAAUAUUAAACUUGUUAGUUCCUUUGUUCCAAUUUGUAGGACACCUUUUAUUCAAUCUUUUUGUCCAAGAGAACUCCAUUAAACAAUCCAUUUCAACUAGUGAGUAUCAAUGUAAUGGUCCCAUAUCGGGAAAUAAGUGAAAGCGGAUGUAAGAGAAGAUUAUAAAAUGCUAAGGUAAUAGAUAGUUGAAAUCAUCUUUGCGCUUGGGGCAAUGACGCAGCUAGUGAGGUUCUAACCGAGGCGCGUCUAUUGCUGGUUGAAAACUAUUUCCAAACCCCCUCUUCGGCCUUGGUUCUGCCUUGGCCGUCGAGAAUUUUUGCAAGGGCUCCCCUCACGGGGUAAAGCCCUACAAUUCUUAGUCCAAUAUUUUUUUUGAUACUUUGUUGGGGAAUGAUUUCAGCCUCUAAGGCGUCGUUUGCUAGUGUAUAACAAUAAGUAAAACUUACAAAAAUGACUAUAGUUUUAGGGUUAUUUCUUAUGUAGAUGUAAAAGUGCUUCAUACCAUGAAAAAGUAAAAUCAAACAAGAGACUACUAAUGCACAUAGCUAAUAUGCAUUAUUUUUGCUAAUAGAUGUUGCUUAGUGUGUGGUUUAUAUUUUGUGGUUUGCGAGUUAUAAUUACACAGUGAGCAAGAGCUGUUGUGGGACUUGGGAGGAAAUAAUUAUAUACUGAAAGAAAAUUUGGUCUGCAGAAAUAAACUUGGUCUUGCAAAAAUUCAAGGUUUAAAUGCCAGAUUUGUGGAAAUAUUGCAGAUGUUUUUUCGAAAAACCUUUGCAUGUUGUUUGAAUUUUGGACAAUUAUUUGCAAAUAUACAUAUUGUUGUUCAAGUUGUGCAUCAUGUAUCAACUUUUUAAGCAUCGAGGAGCCCUUAACAAGGGGAGCUAAUGGAGCAGCUACCUUGAGCUUUAGUCCAGGAUAUACAAAAUAAAGGAUACGCAGAGCUUUGCAUCCAUGUUAAAAGUGGAUAACAGCAUUAUAUCAUACUUGUAACAAGAACAAGAAUGGAGCUGCUGCCAAAAAAAUAUAUUACUAGCUUGUUACCAACCGUGUUACACAUAUUUUGAGACACAUAGUACAAGUUAUGAAAGCUAGUAGUUACAUAUAUACUUUUUGCAACCUCAAGCCAUUUAUGACCUUAUGUUGCUUCGACUGAACAAAAGCAAUGCAUGAUAAGCUGACAGGGAGUAGAUCAACCUUUUCAUAGCGGCACAUGAGAGAUGAGCUUCAAUUCAGUGGCUGUUAUAUUUCGAGCAAAUCAAUAAUUAAUUUACUUCUGUAACUUUCUUGACGAUGACAGAGGCAUAAUUAGCUAUUGUUGAUUCUGGUGACUGCUGAAGCUGCCUAAUCACUGGAAAUAGCUCGGAUGUGCGGAGGAACUGUCUGCAAGGUGGAUGAGCACACAUCUUCGCCAGGGAAAAUAAUGCUAUCUUUAAAGGAGACUCAUUUAUUGUAUCUUUUCUACUGGGGCUAAGAGCUACCACGGAACAAUCUGUCACCAGCUUCAGUAACGCCUGGGAAAAAAGCACCAUCAGCUUUAGUACGGGGAGUUUGCUGAACACACUCAGCAUUCUCUAUUAAGAUACCACAUGCAUUAAGGCAUUUCCAUCCAGGCACUAGAAACUAGUAUAAAGUGAUAUGACUCUUAAAACAUUCUGGUUUAGAAACAGUAUCUUCGCAAAUAAAAAAGAAUCAAUAGGUUUGGUUUGCUAAGCAAAUAAGGAAUUGUGAAGGUAAAACAUGGUAGGGGCAUGAAAAACCUGCAUGGCUCCUUUAGAGACAAUAUCUUCACAAAGCUUGUUGGAGUUGCGGACAAGGUUACUCAGUGCCCCAGCAGCAUUGGCCUUGGUUUUAUCUUCCUCUGCUGAAAGCAGCAGAUAUGAGAGCUGAGGAAUGGAUCUCCUGAGCUCAUCAUACAGCAGCUCAUUAUGAUAGGCAGCAUUGCCGAUCUACAAAUGGAGAAAGAUUUUCCUCAGCCAACAAUUCAUAACUAUAGUUUGAUUGAGAUUAAAAAGUAAUUUGAUUCUAUCAAACAGUUGAAAGCAAACAAAAGGUUUACAGCAAAGCAAGCAAACUUCCGCGUUCUUUUGUCAGAAUCAGCACAUCGGUCAAUGAGAAGACUAAUGAUACCACGCUUUGCCUACAAAAUAGGAAAGAAAAAAAACUGAGUUCGAAGAGUAAAAAUUAUAAUAAUUAUUAACUAAUUUGAAUGAAACUUGACUUCUGAGUUCUUAGACAAUAAAAUUAAAAAAAUUCCAAUUUCAUGUCUUAAAUGAAAUGAGUUGAAGAGGGACAAACUCUAAACUGCAAAACCUCAAAAGAAAGUAAUGUCAAAACUACAAAAGAAAGAUCAUUUUGGUUUAAACUAGAUUUAGAUGAAACCAGAGGUUAUUCAGGAAGAUUACCAGUGAUGCAUAGAAAUAGGAGCUGUGACGACACAUAUUUCCUAUAGCACUGCAUGUUUUGGCACGCACAUUAGGAUCUUUAUCAGUUAGGAAGCCCUUCAGAAACUCCAAGAUAGCUGCCCCAUCAACGUAUUCAUAGAAGGCCUGGAUGCAUAUGACAGUUAUAACCAGCGUCAGCAUAGUUGAGAAAACUUAUGUGGUACAAUCAAGCUCUUCAAUGAUUACAGACAUCUCUGUCGAAUAAGUAUCAAUAAAUGAGUCCACAGCAUAGAAUGAUGUUUUAACAUGUCACACUAAUUUCAAGGUACUCCCUUAAUACCGAAACAAACAUAUGACCUGCUUCCCAUGAGAAAGGCUGGAGACUAAAAUUCUUGACUAGACUAUGAUAUCAUGUUUGAUAUAGAUAACAGUUUUAAACACAAAAACUAAAUAAUCCUUAACAGUUAAAAUCACUUAAAAUGAAUGACCAACUUCAAACUUACGUUUCACAAAUUUAGUUAACUAUGACCAUACAAACCCAACUUUAAAGAUCAUAUAUUCUUAUUUUCCACAUAUUGCAAUUAAAAAAAUCAUGAACAGUAGAGGAGGUAUCAAAAACAUUUUAAGUGAUUAAACAGCCAAUGACAUUAUCAAUAAAGAAUUAAAAGUCACUGAAGAUCACCAUCGAUCAACUAAGAGAGUACGUGCAGUUAAGAAUUGACCUUAUCCAUGCGAGCUAAAUCUGAAACAAUCAUAAGAACAUCCAGAACAACUUCUCCGGGGCAUGAACCAUCAAGUAGAGACUUCAUUCUUCUAGGAUCCAACAAUCCUUUACCCAAUAGUUGAACAGCAAGAGGUCGGUGUGCUGUCAUUUUGGCAAGAAAUGCAACAGGUCUCGCUUUAUCUCUGGAUUCCAUGUGUUCCAAACACCGAAGAAUAAUGCCUGGAACUCCUACCUGCAAGCACAGAGCAUAUCUAUCAUGGGUUAUCCAAUCCAAUGUUAUACUAGGAUGUGUUAUCUCAUUAAUUUUUCCUAUACAGAGGACAAAAGGUGAAGUACAGAAGACCAUGUGUGCCAUCCAUGCGGUUGAAUGAUGCUAGGAAAUGUGUCUCGUUAUACAUACUUGGUUAUUCAAAGUUUAAAAACUAUAUGGAGAAUCAUAUAUUGAUGACACAUAUAAUGACUCCUAGUUGGCAUUAUGCCCAACUUGCAAUUAGCUUGGCUCAAUGGCUUGUACUUGUGAUCGUUCAUGCUUACAUUUCCAUGAUUAUCCUUUAAGAAAUUUGGCCAACAAACUGUAAACCACACUCAGAACCUAAUCCUUGAAGUACACAAUAUUUUAAAUAAAAUUAUUUGAAGGGAAGAUGCAAAGUCAAACCUCCAAUAAGAUUUGAGUAUACUUCCCCAAAUGUGAUUCAAUUGCUUUCACCAUGUCCUUGUCUUCAGGACAAACUCUUCCACCAGGUGAACCAACAUUAAGGAGAAAUCCACUACUCACUGAAGCAGUAGCAGAUGGCAAACCUAGACCAUUCUGUACAGCCACAAAAGGAAAUGCCAAAAGAUCUAUAACUGUAUUUAUUGUGUCCCUAACCCCAUCCACCCCACCACCAGGUCCAGUCCAAGAUUUGACUAGCUUAAGAUGCAUGUCCAAUAUCAAAUCUGAUAUGACCUUGACAUGCUCCGUUUUGAGCAAUAUAUGACGAAAAGUGGACACCCCCCCAGUAAGACAUUGACAAAGCAAUGAAAUGCUCCAUGGAACUCCAAUUGGUGAUAGCCCAAUAUGAUCUUUCGAUAAAUUGGAUUCUUCAGAAGAGGCCUCUGUAAUGUUGCCUGAUAACAAAUCAAUAAGAAGCUGUGGAAUACCACUUGCACAGGAGUGUUGCACAGCCAAUGGUCCUUCCUUCUUCAGUCGUAUGUCCAAUAACCCAAUAGAUCCAUCUCUUAGGCCAUGCCAAUGUGAAAGCAUUCCACUAAACAUAUUUCCAUCUUGUUCAUUAACAGGAUUCCUAAGGUAUUCACAUAGCUUGGCAGUCCUAGGGAUCAUUGGCACAGCUAUGUCAAGAAUGGUAGUUUCAACUGUGCAGCCAGUUUCAAGAGACAGAAUGGUUGCUAGAGCUAGCAUUGCAGAUGCAGAAUGAGGUUGGCAUAAUGACUGCACAUCAGCAGAGAAAUAAUGUGCAAGAUCAGAGAGCCGAGUGAGCUGCUUUCUUGAAGAUGUAGUUAAAAUGAACAAGGCAGAAUUCCUUCCUGAUGCCUUUAGACAUUGGGCGAUGGUGGCAAGAAGAAGGCUUAAGUGCAGAACCAAGGUAUUUGCUUCUCCUCCACGUGAUUUCUUAGCUGAUGAUAGUACAGAGAAAAGCUCUGAAACAAUAGUGCCGUCUCCUCCUCCACUCACGACUGUAGUAGCAGGAAGAGAACUAGGCAGACCACACAGGAUAGUGGCAACAAUUCCACUAUGCAAGCAACACCUCAGAACAAGCUGAAAAAAAAGAAGCAUUAGUUAAUAAUUUUGACAUGUGACUAGACUAGAGACGCACAAUAUAAACUACUUUACUCAUCGUCCAUAAAACCUAACGUACUUUCGCGGUGCACUUUUAUGUGAAAAAACAGAACAGAGUAAAUUCUCACGAUGAGAUAUAAUAGCCCAAUUAGAUGUUUCUUCAAAGAGUAUGCAUCAGUGUCAUCAAAAGUCAUUGCUUUGUUGCUUAAACCAAAGCAGCAAAGUGAAUCAAGGAGGUAUCGCUUUAUAGAAUUGUGCCCAAAGUGAACCUAAUGAGAACUGAUUGGUUCUUUGAAUAUCAACUUUGAAGAAUUGGAUCAAUAUCAGCAUUAUUAUAUAUUGGAUACUGAUAUCAGAUAUUUUUAUUGUAAUUUGACCGCCAUAGUACUAGAUUCAUAUAUGUUUGGUUCUUUAGUGUCAUGAAUUGAGUACUUCACUUCAAAGAAGCACCCACUUCACUUCUUGAUUUUCGAUUCAAGCUCAACGGACCUUGUCCUGCUACUUUAACAUGCAUUAUUCUUCCUUUUCAUGUUACAUUAUCAGAGGUCGUGUCUAGGAGAGAUGGAGAGAGCAGUCUUGCUUUACUGCAUCCGCUUGCUAUAAGUGGGAACGGAAGUACUUGAGCAACUAACUAUGCAAGACCAGGACCACCAACUAACUAUCGGCCAAUGGCCCAAAGAUAUAAUAAUAAUAAUAGCACAGAGCCUUUCAUCAAAUGUCAGUUAAUAAGUGUUCCAGAACAUUUUGCGAUGCAAUUAUUGGCCUAGAGAUGGUAAAUGUUAACUGAGAAAUGGACAUUGGUGAUCUGUAAAUAAAACUGAGGGAGAGAUACAGAGAAAAUAGAAGAUCCAAGUUACUGUGCUUCAAACAUCCACAAAAGUCCAACAAGUGAAAACUUAUCAAGCAAGUACCAGUAAAACAUAGUAAAUGGCAGCAAAGAGAUAGACACCUGUACUCCACCACAGAUAGAAGCCUCAAGACGUUGAUGCAGACAAUAAUAAACAGCCAGUUGUACUGCUUUGGAUCUUAGAAAUGCUUUUGUCAUGGCAUCAAUUAUUUUUGUUGAAUCUCCUCCAAGUAAUGGACCUCGCUCAUGGUCCUUGAUGUCAAGUCGAUGUAAAGAAGGAUUUCGCAAAGAGCAAAUUGGGAAAUGGUAUCUAUUUUCUCUUAGAGAAAGAAGUUCAAAUGCAUCCACCAGCAACCAAAGAGCCCUGCAGGCUUCAGCAGCAGCUCGCAGUAAAUUUGAGGAACCUGACCCUGAUGUAGCUAAGCACAAAAUCAAAAGGUCUGCUAUGCCAGAACUGCUAGCAUGGUCUAGAAGCUCUUUCAGAGUUCCUAUUAGGGUUGGUGGAGAAGAUGAUACUUUAAGAGCCUGAGCCACUCGAAACAAUAUAGCUGCAAUGCAACCAGUUGACUCAGACAAAACUCGACCAGAAGCAUCAUCCAGAUUAUUUAUGACCUGUAUAAUUGUAUAUGACAGUUUAAAACAAAUAUACAAGUUGACAUAAGUGCAUAGUUUUCCAUGUUCAAAAACCUAACCUGUGAGUACAACUCAAGCAGAGUUCUCCAAUGCCCUAAACAUGAGCUACCAAUAGCACCUCCACAGUUAUCUAACAUUUUUUUGGUGACUGAAAAACUCUGCAAAACAGUUAAGACCACAAGAUCAUAAUUUUUUAAGGAAGCAAAACAAGAUCAGAAAUAUAAGUGAAAAUUGUAUUGAAGGAUAUAUGUUAUCCAAAAUGCAUAUUGGUCCUAGUGAAACAUGGCUCUGUUUUUCUUCUUAUUUUAACACUAAAGUUUGGACAAGAAUGAAGCUGCAAAGUUUGAGAUUAUAGCUAUAUCAUUGAAGUUCAUGGAAAAGAUGUGUAAUUAGAGUUCACAAGGAAAGAAACCCAUAUCAGGGCAAAACUUCUUCCUUUUCAAAUUUGGUCUGGUGAAUGAGGAUGGUUCCCACAAAAUUACCUUCAUCAGCAAUUCAGCUGCAUUAGAAGACCUGACUUUAAGUACAGUAGAAGUCAAACCAAGAAGUACACAGAUAAUUUGAUCAAGAGUCCCACUUGAGUUGAUUGCACCGGCUGCAACUAAGUUUGAAAGGAUUCUAAGUGAUUGGUUUAAUAUGACAAAAUCGUGAUCCCUGUGCAAGAAGCAAGCAGGUUAGUAAUAUCAAAAGUAACAAUUGUGUGCCUACUUACUUCAACAAGAUUUCAAUUCUUGUAACCAUAAAAUAUUACUAACUUUGGUGUGAUAAAUGAUACAAAAAGUCAAACUCUAGUAGCAAAACCUCUGAAAAUGAAAAUUAAUCUUUCUCCUUUAAUUAUUUACAAACAUGCAGAUGGAAUUCAUUCUCACAGCAUUAUUGUGGCAGGGUGAAGACAUCCUCAAUAUCAUCAACGCUAUCAAUUGGAUGCAAAUUAGACAGUAAGAAAGUCACAAAACAAGGUGAAUAAUUAAUCUAGAAACUACCAAGUUCUCUCUCUGUUUCAGUUUGUUUGUAUUAGUUUGACUUGGCACGGAGAUUAAGAAAGUAAAGAAGAUUGUUGAAUCUUGUGGUCUUAAACUAAGGAUAUGUAUAAUGUACCAAAAUGCCCUUUAAUCUUGUGGUCUUAAACAUGUCAUGCGAGAUGUUGAAAUUAAAGAGUUUCCAAAUAAGGGGAAGAGGCCUUCUUUUUUUAACAGACUAAACGAGAAAGUAAGACAAACAAAUUGAAAUAGAGGGAGUAAUGAAUAUGAUACCUACUCGUUGAAUAACUAUACAAUAUCAUAUCUAAUCAAAUAAGAUGCUACACACCUCUUAUACAAAACUCUAUUUACCUGCUAGGAACUUUUGAUUCAUCACACAAGUUUCUUAGAGGAACUAAAAUAGCUGAUAAUGCAUCAUUAUCUUGACCAAUAACUUUUGCACCCUUAACUGUUCGGGAGUUGCUUUCCAGUCGGUCUAAAACCUGACAACCUGAAAAGACAACAUAUAUCAUGGAUAUUUAUAAAAUACUGGAUGUGAUUUAGGAAAAUUGGUAAAGAUUAUUUGAUCCUCUCCUCUCUGAAACAAACACAAAAAACACAAAAAAUGAACAGAAACAUAUGAAUGGGAUACUAUUAGUUACUACGCAGUUAGAAGCAUGAGCAAGAACUAACUUAUGAUGAAAUUCAAAUGUCACAAGAAGGUAAGAAAGAUGAGCUAAAGAAACCGACAGAGAAAGAAAGUGUUAUUACUGUGCAUCUAAAAUUCAGAUAAGUAAUAGUAUUACAAAUAUUGUAUUACAUGCAUACAACAUCGACAGACAAUUCUUCAAAAAGCUGAACAUUGUGUUUGUCCUUCGUACAGACGAAAACUCAAUGCCUAGUAGUGAUAACAGUGUAACUGAUAGGAGCUACUAUACCUCAAGCAAAACCUACAAUUGGUGGUCGUUUGUCUCAUAGUGGUGCGAAAGAAGAAAAUAUUCAGUUACUUGCAUGAUCAGAAACAAAGAGAGUAACUAUAGAGCCACUUCGAAUCAAUUUAAAAAAGAAAAUUAAUGAACAUCAUGACAAGAGUUACAUUUCACCACUCCUUACUUAUCAUGGUUUGACUCUUGUAUGAGAUAUUGACUUAAUUAUUUCAAAGUUCAGGAUUUAAUACUAAUUUUUUUUUAAAAAGAUUAACUAUAUACAGGUCCUAUGUUUUAAUCAAAUUACAAUUAGUAAAGAGGAAAUAAAAGAAUAAAGUUCUUCCUUUGUUGCCUAUGUUGAAAACAGUUAUAUCAGUUGCAUUGUAUAUGAGCACAUAGAAACCCCAAGAUUUUGCAGCAUGAUAACAUAAAUAGAAAAUUUAGCCUAUUCUUUAGACCUGAACACAACUAACCUGACUGUACAAUAUCAUCAGGCUGUGAGAAACCAGGGAACUCCUCUGGUGAAGCAUUGACUGUGACGUCUGGACUCUUCAAAUGAACCUCAGUCUGAAGGUUCCCUGUGUUUCCAUUUCCACUUACAGCUUGAAUAUGAUUUUUACCUGCAAUGAUAUCCCUUGAGACAGAUGAAUUAAGAAAAAUUAGACAUGCAUGCUGAUAUGUGAAUGGAAGUCUUACUUUCGGGUGUUGCAACAUUCAGCUGAGUUGAUUGAAUAUCUCCUUUCCCCCUCCAAGUUGCAUCAGAUCCCUUUGUAGUAGCUGCAGCAGCACGAAUCUCCUGUUAUUUUGAUAAAUCGUUGCAUUAAUGAAAGACCAAAAUGGAAGAUUCAAAAUAAGUAGCUUGCUUUUCAAUAUCUGUAAUUACCCUAGCUUCCACAUCCUCCAAUGUUUCUUGAACAAAUGGAUGAUCAAGAAGUGCAGGCCAAGUCAGUCUAUUUUGCGGUACCUGGUUCACAGAAUGAUCACUAGAUCAAAAGUAGGAAGCUAAAAAUAUAGAAGUGUAAGGGCUUUAAUUAUAUAGAGGGAAACCUUGUUAAGCAGGCCCUUCAGAAAACUCUUGAAGGUUGAGCUCAUAUUGUCUGGAUACUUAACUGGGUCCUGAGCAUAAGUGUGUUUACAAGUUAGAGGUCUAAUCAACCUCAGCUCUAGAUCCAAAAUCUAUUCAAGAGUAAUCUUGGUUACCUUGAUGAUGUGACGAACAAGAGCAUAAACUGAAUUAGUGUAAAAUGGAGGCUGACCAACAAACAGCUCAUAUCUGCAUAAAAUCGGUUGAUUAAAUUCAUUAGGAGAAAUACCGUUGAAGAAGAAGGUCAAUUAUUAAUAACAGGAGAUUUGUGUUGUAGUUGUAAAGGUUGUAAUUAUUAAUGCCUCCUAGCUGUAAAUUUUGUUCUUUUUUUUUCUUCUUAAAAUCGAAGGAGCUCCUUUCGUCUAAGAAAAACUUCAAGCUUCCCUCCAGCCAGAAGGAAAGUUGUUUCCAAUAAUCGCAAAUUAUCUUUUUGAAGUGAUUCAAAACACUGAAAACAUUCCUAAAGUAGAUGUCACAUACAAGAUAACACCAAGAGACCACAAAUCAGCAGUGUGGUUGUAUGGUUGUUCUCGUACCAAUUCUGGAGCCAUAUACAAUGGUGUACCUAAGAAAAUGAAAGAGAACCGAGGAUCAGGAGCAGAGUAGACCAACAGUAGUUUCUAUCAACCACUUGAUGUCCAUUUAUUGACUGAGGAAAACAAAGCAAUCCUAUGAUGACUUAAGUGAAAUUCACCUUUUAUGGAUCGCAGAACUACUGUGUUUGUGGACAUGGCUCGUGCAAAACCAAAGUCACAAAGCUGUUAAAUAAAAAAAGAAAAAUAGAAGAGACAUGAGAAGAUAGGUUACAUCUUUGCUGCUGGAUGAAGAGUACAACAAGCACCACGUUAUACACUGGCAUAUCAUUCACAAAAAAACCAAGAUAAACUAGCUCUAACACAUUUUACAGUAUCAUCGCAAGUUCUCGUUCUGUAAUAAUGCUUUAACAAAUUUAGCAGGCUAGUUGUCAUAUAGCCACAGAACAUACCAAUGAAUAAGCUAAAUUAUGUUCCCCCAAGGAACUAAAAUAAGAGUAGAUCCCUGGAAAAAAAGAGUAGUGAAUGCAUGAAGACAAUGCAACAAUAAAACUACGCUUGAAUCAGUUGGGAUUGGCUAUCAUAAUCUGUAAAAUCUUAACCAUCCAUUUCACUCCAUUUUGAUGCAUCUGCAAAGCUCAAUAAUUGGACCUAAGGUAAGGAAAUCUCAACACUUUUCACUAGCAUACAAAUCUCUAGAAGUCUCCAAAUGGACUGGACCUAAAGCAAGGAAAUCAACAUGAAUAAACCUUAAUCCCGACUUGAUGGUAUCACCUCUAUGGAUCUUUUUCUUCCAUAUUGUUUUUACAAGGCUGUGUUGAUUUCAGGAAUUGUAUGCCUUUCAAGACAACCCCUUCCCAUGUGAUUUUAGGUCUACAUCUAUCCCCUUUUAGCUCAAUUAUCAUAAUCUCACAUCUAUAGACUAAUGCAUCUAAAGGUCGAUGUAGGACAUGACCAAAACUUCAAGUGGCUUUCUCUUAUGUUAUCAUCUAUCUAUAAUAAUUGCACUUUUUCACCUAAGCUGAUUAUUUGUAACCUUAAAUGAUUGCAUAUCCAUCUUAAAUACGCAGUUUUGCCUCACUCGUCUUGUGGAUAUGUUGUCCCAAAUUGCAUUGCCAGCCUUACAAUCGUUCUAUAGUGCAAAGUGCAAACCUUCAGUCAACAUUCUGCCACUGCUGCCAGUUGAACUGAAUGAUGUCAAAAUAUACUCACAAAGGAACUGAUGGUGAAUAAAAAAAACAAAUAGAAAACUGAACAGUUUUCUUUUGAUUGAGUUUCAUGCUUGUUCCACUAUAACUCAAUUUCUAAGCAUGUUAGGAGAGACAUCACCUCAUACACAAUCAUAAACCAAAAAGAGGAACCACUGACUGCAGUUUAACAUGAAAUCACAACAUUUUGAAUGGGCAAAACCAUAUAACACUAACUGGUUAACAAAGAGAUCAUAACUAGAAUAAAUCCAUGAGAAAAAAAAGUGUGAAUUGUGUUUUAUGUAAUAUCCAAUAACACAAUUCCAUGAAACUAUUGGUCCAUACUACAAAUUAGUCAUAAAAUUCAGCUACUAACCUUGACAAUAGAUCCAGCACCAAUGAGAAUAUUUUGCGGUUUCAUGUCACGGUGUAUUAUACGAUUUGAGUGUAAAUAAUGCAGUGCUCUUACCUGAAAAUGAACAGAAAAAUACAGUUAAAUAAAUAAAUAAAAAAGAAAGAUAUAAAUGUGGGAUCCUGAUGGAAUUCCUCUGCAGAUUAGUAGUUGAAGGAAGAAAGCAAUGUACAUAUUAAAAGAAAUUGAAAUUUUGUGUAGGUUACCAAUUGCUUUGCAAUUGCUUGCACUUGUUCCUCAGGGAGGCUUUUGUCAUCUUCAAGAAUUUCAAACAGCUCACCCUGGAUAUGAUAGUUUUCAUUAGUCAGCCAUAGAAAUUCAAUAUGUCUCUAUGCAUGUUGGAGGAAAUGCAAAUGGCAUUGUGCUCUAACUUUUGAAGGAGAGAUAAAUAGAGAGAGGAGACCAAUUACUUGAGCAAAUUCUGUAACGACACAAAACUCCUGUGGGCUUUCAAAAGAAUCGAGCAUCUCUAUAAUAUUUUCAUGUUUCAACUUUCUGAGGAUCUGCACCAUUUGAAUAACCUCUAUGAGAAAAUAGAGACAGCACAAGUAGAGCUUCAACAAACAGUAAAAUCUAGAUGAAACAGAAAUAUAUGGCACAAACUCAAUUGAGAGAGAUUAGAUAAGAUCACAGAACUUCAUAAUCAUUCUGUCUCCGAAAAAUCCAAGGAAAUAUUUUUUGAACCACAUUAUGUAAACCUAGCUUCUCGAACAGGAGUAUUCACAAGCAAAAUCACCAAAAAGGUAAGUAGCACAAGAAUACCUCAAUUUCCUGCCUUAAGUUGUGAAUGUCCUUCUCGCUUUUCCCAUGUUUCGGAAUAAAUUUCAUUGCAACCGUCUGAAAGUAAUCAAAUUUAAAAGUAAGAGAUAAAAAAUAAUUAGAAUAACCAACAAAAGCACUAAAAUAAAAUGUACCUGGCCAGUAUACUUUCGCCUCCCUUUGUACACCUUCCCAAAAGAGCCCUCGCCUACAAGCUCUAUCACAUGGUAGUUCUCCACACCCAUCUUCAAAAUUAUUCUGAGGGAGAAAACAAUAUUUUCUUAAUUUUGACACAAAUAUACAAACAUGUAUAAUCCUAGCAGUAAUUUUCAAAAACAAAAAAAAAUCGCACAAUUACUGCAGACAAGCAGCUACCUGUUGUUUUGGAUUGGAUUAAAACGGAUACAAAUUCAGAUCGGAAUAGACGGGAUGAUUCAAAACAUAGAGCAUAGUAUACAAGUCAGUUUCUAAUCUACAAUUUCAAAAACUACAAUCUCUAAUCUCUACUAACAACUGAUGAUUGCUACUAAAUCCGAAAUAAGUGAGAAGAAGUGGAGAGUUUACCGUUUAUUGAUGAAAUCCUGCAGAACUUGGCGUGUGAAAUUCAAAAAGGGGAACAGUGGAUUUUGGGGAAGAAAUGGAAACGUUAGGAUUUAGACGGAGAGAGGUGGAUUUGCAUUUGAAAUAUGAUAUGGUCCCUCAAAAACCUUUUCCCGCUUGGCAGAGAGAGAGAGAAAAAUGUAAAUGACAAAAUGAUCCUUUAAUUUUUGGAUAGGUUCAAAAUAAUCCUUUAAAUAUGUUUUGAUACAUUAAAUUUGUCAAAAGUGAAUAUUUUUGUCUCUGUCAAAUAUUUAACGACUUUAUAUCAUUUAGGUUUGAUGAGAAUUUGAUAUGUUGUGAUUUGUGUGGUUGGGGGAGAGGGGAGAGAUCAAUGGAAACUCAUAUUUGAAAAUUGAAGGUUAUAGUUUAUAUUAUUACUAGGUAAUUUGUCCCGUGCUUCACGCGGUCAUAAAUAAUAAUUGCAUUGAACUUGCAAAUAAUCAUUUACUAAUAUCCAUACAUUAAAAAUAAUGGAAAAAUAAGUUCUUAAAAAACAUUAGUAAUAUUUCAACAUGAACUUGAUUAUUUGUCUUUAUCACAUAACUCAAGAAGCUCUAAUGAAUGAAUUAUUCAGGAAAUAAUAAAUUAUUGGUUCUUUAAUAAACAUUAAAAGGAAAAUAAAUAAGAAAAUAAGAAUAUAUAUAUAUACAAAGGCAUUUCAUAAGAAAAAGAACACAUUUAAGUUACAUAGAUUAUACAAUUGUGAUAUAUGUAUCAGGAAAAAAUUCAAAAAUUUGUUAAUAGAUUCAAAAAAAAAAUUACGCUUGAACGUGAAAGCAAUUAUAACUUUUGAACUUGCAUAAGAAAUUUCUUCAAUUGAUAACUGAGAAACUUCAUAUCUAUAUAAAAAUAGAUAAUAUGUAAGCUUAUAUAUAUUACUUUUAAGUUAUAGAAUUUUAUAGACUAUCAAAACAUGAAUUCUUGGAACUGAGUACAAUAAUUAUUAUCUGCACAAUGAAUACACCUACUAUAUGUGUAUAUGUUCAAUAUAACCGGAGACAAUAACUUUGCAAAAACAUAAACAACAAUGUUUAAAACAUGUACUCAAAAAUAACAAUUAACAUCAUAAUCAUAAAUUAAUGAAUGUAAAAAAACAAACAAAAAUAUGUAAAAAUAAAAUGAAAUAGAAAGGAAAAAGUCGAGUUCACUGAAUGCACAAUGUCUUCUUAAGAAAAUUAUUCUCCUCUAAUACAUGAGGUUUAAAGAAUUAAAUCCUCUCAGGAUGGACGAUUUUAUUCACCAACAUAUUGAUACAAAAAACAAUAGUGUCAGUAAGCUACUCAACAGGAGCAAAGUACACGAAUAUUUAAUUGUGCAGAAGAAGAAGAUUCAGAAUUUUUGUUGUUUUAAAAUGAGAGAAAAUCCCUCUAUUUAUAGACAACAAAGGGUAGUGUGAACAAAUGUUUAUUGUGUCUAAUCGAAAAGGUCACAACUCUUUGUAAAAGUCACAAUCCUUCGGAAAGGUCACAAUCUUUCAUAAACGUCACAACCUUUCAUAAAAGUCGCAACUCUUCAUAAAAGUUACAAUUUUUCAUAAUAUUCACAACUUUUCAUAAAAGUCACAAUUUUCAUGAAAGGGGAAUGAUAGUUUUGAAAAUAAAUAAAUUAAAAGGAAUCCUGCUUUCUGGUGGCGCCACGUAGGCGGACCUAGGGUUCUCUUUUAUAUAUAUGAUUUUUUAUCUAUUUUUAAACUUUUUGCAUUUUUAAAUCUAAAACUGUUCAAAAAGUACAUUUAAACAACGGCUUUCAACCAACCUCCAUACAUAAUGGACCAUUUCAAGCAUGUUUGAUAUAUCAACUUUUUAUAAGAUAAUCUUUUUCCAUAAGCAAUAGAAACUAAGGGAAGUUUUGUGAAAUCGGACGGAAUGAAGCAAAAGAGUGUUUAGAAUAAACUUUUUUUUCUUCUUUUUUUUUCAAAACGGUACAACGGUUGCCCUGCUUCAAGAGUUUUUUUUUAAAAAAAAUUACAUUUGAGCCUUAAGUUAACAAUAUGUACAAUUUGAAGAGCCACUCCAAGGCCUAACUAUGAACAACCAAUGGACUUUGCUCAGCAGCUAGUAACUGAAUUACUCUUGACCCAGGUCAUAGAACUUCAUUCUGUUGUGAGCACCUCCCCAGAAUUGCAAUGAAUAUACAUGCUGUACAGACCGUGCGUGAUUGAACAUAUCUACAUUCUGAUCUCAACCACAUCACCAUCUUUUAACUUUGUAUUAGGCACUACCAGCUGGCCAUUUACUGAAACCAACUUCCCCUCCAAUCCUGCUCUCCUAGCAGCAUCAGCUGCGGUGCUACCAGUGCUCAGGCGCAUUAUCUCACCAUGGGGCCAGCAUACGAUGACCACCUCACCUAGCAAACCGGAGCUAGCUUCAUAUGGUUUUGUAGCAAGCACCACUCGCUGACUUGCUUCAGAGCGCAGUUGCUUCUCCCAUUGAAGCAUUGUCCUCAGCAAAUAUACCUGUAGAUUUUCAAAAUUGCAAGCUGAAUUCAUCAGCUAAAUGAACCAUAAAGAGUCAUAAGAGGUACAUGUUUAAGAUUGGAGGAUAUGGGAAUUGAUAGAUCACCCAAGGCUGAAAAGAAAUACAAAGACAGGACCCACAAAUGCUUUCUUAUCAAGUUAUUGUUUAAUGUUCUACACAACCUGUCUUUUCCUUGCUUCAAAAAAAAAAGGUUCAUGUUUAGACACCUCGCAAAGCAGCUUUUAAGUUUUAUCCAUUGAGUUAAUCUACUCUAUCUUUUCCCCCUCUUUCUUUUUUUCUCAAAUACCCAACCCACACACAUGUCACACUUUGGGUAUCAAAGUGAUAGCUUAUGACAACAUUUAUUAUCAAAGUGAUAGCUUAUGUGAAACAAUGGUAAAAUAGGAAAAGCAGGAUACUUAAGGGUAAGCAAAUGAAUAUCACACACAUGUCACACUUUGGGUGUCGUGGCCACUGAUCAGUGCCAGGAAUAACUACUUCCGGAUAACUACUGAUGCCCUUUUGUUAGCCUCUUCCCAUACAUUUGAUGGAUAUUGACCAAAAGAACAGGCGUAUUGUCCAUUUUAUGGUUCAGUGGCUAACUCCAUUCAUCAUCACCAACGACAUUAUUACAUCUCCCGAGUAUAAGAUAAGAGCCUAACAAGUUCAUCAUAUUGUUAUUGAACUUUGGGCAUAUACUAGCAGUCAAAAUACCUUAUUGUUGAUGCCAGAGUCCCUUAAUGUCGGAUUAGAAGCGUUAUAGCCCAGCUUGUUCUCAAAACUUGGGUUAGAUGUAACAGAGGCAACAGGUUUCCCCUCAAAGAUGGCAGACAUGAUAGCCCAGUAAACAUUUUCUUCCUCCUCUGUCAAUUCAAUGAUUUGGAUGAAAGUGGGCAGCAGGCGCUCAAACUGGUCUUGCUGCAUCAACAAUGUAAUAGUUGUUACAGGAUCCCAGCAGAACAAAGAGACAUGUUGACUGUUUCGCCUCAACUACUCCAUACAUCCGAUUUUAGGUGACAUAAAUUGACGCCACAUGGGAUUACUAAAUUGACUUGUAACUUAUGCUGAUCCUAGUAUCAGAACAUAUUCAAGCAGUACUUUAGAAAGUAUCGAAGGAAAAAACAUCACAUCACGGUUUAUCUUUGAAUUCUAAGAAUUUCACUUCCAUGUCAUGGUUUGAGGCUUCCCAUACCUUGUGGUACAUACCAUCUUGACAAAGUGUAUACUUUUCCAGGCAAGUGCACCAAUCCCCAUGUCCUGGUUCGCACCACCAUUCAUCAGAUACCUGAAAAUCAUGUUGUAAUCCCUAAAGUUAAAAUAUGAUGAUCUUAGGCACUAAGAGAUGACUGCUUUGCCUGCAAAUUUGCUGAUAUACAGAUGUAUGUUGUAAGCAGAAAUUUGAAGAGACAUGAACUUAGAUCACCAUUAUCAUUAUCAUCAUCAUCAUCAUUAUCAUUAUCGUUAUUAUUGUUAUUGUUGUUGAUGAUGAUAAACAAUAGAAGAACUUAUUUUUUCCUAUAUCCCUAUAGUAUAGUCUAAUUUAUUGAUACUUAAUCAAAGGGCUGAUUAGGAACACUAUGUGUGUGUUGUUUUCUUGCUUAUUUUCUAGUGUUUGGUAAGUGAGCUAAAAACACAUUGCCCCAAGAGCAUUUAUAUAUAAUGCAUGAAAACUAUGGGGUGGAGGUGGGGUGGGGAUGAGAGGAGACAAUGAGCUUGAAAUAUCAAUUCUGGAAUUUGUUUUCCCUAAACCUACUAGGAAAGUCAUUUUCCUGAUUUCUAAGGAACUUAUUUUCCCAGAGGAAAUGUUUUCCAAAACCUUCUGACCAACAAAACAUAGGAAGAUUGGAAAUAUUUUCAAGGUAAAUUUCCAUGCAAAACAGACCCCAAGUGUUGCUAUAUCAGCUGCAGAUUAACUGGACAUAUUUUUGCCAAUACUCCAAGGUAAAUUUCUCUUUUCUGACAAUUUUGUCUCUCCUUGUCUCAAUUUUAAUUGAUUAGCUUCUUCCUCCUACCCGUAAUUUUGAUCUACUGCUCUAUCUGCAUUUGCAUAUGCAUGUGUAUGGCCUCCUCCAAAAUAGCUCAAUCUACGGAUACCAUGGACCUAUCUAAUACUAUCACCACAUAUGUCAGAGCAAGCUAGCUAUUAGGUAAUUUAAAGAGGCAAGAUUGAUUUCACAAUUUUAUUAUUUAUCAAGCAGUCUGUUUCAAAGGUGAAAGAAGCUAUGAAAGAGGAAAAGUUCCAGGUAACAAACUUAAGGCAUUUUCAUGAUUAGUAUGGGUGAUAGCUAGCUUAUCAGUUAUAUCAAGAAAGGGAAUAUAAGGCUUUUUUCUUCAUCCAGCAGUCAAGGUCAGCUAACUAUAUCUUUUCUACAAGGUCAAUGAAUUGGAAAAUGAGAAGUGCUUGAGAUUUUACUAAGAUAUGUGACGUAGUAUUUCCUUCGUAGAAACUUGCACCAAACAUGAAUCAGGCCAACAGACAUAAAGUGAUUAGCCAGUUCAGCACAGGACUUGCCAGUAAUAACCAUAUUAUUCUGAAAUGACAAGUUAUAAGACUUCCAAAAGUUACCUUCUUAUAUAAUCUUGCAAAAGCUUCCCAUCUUUUCAUCUGAGAAGAAGAUCUUCUGUCAGCUACUGCCUCAGAAGCUGCUAGCCCAAAACUUACAGCAACAAGCAAUUCUCUUGCACCCUUGUCCACUCUGGUGAAAAAGAAAACUAUUCACACACAAUAAAAGCAUUUGAGAUACAUAUUAUGAAUUCGGUGAUGAUCUACCUCACAAUAACUGCAGCAAGCAGGUGACCUGCUUCCACUCUGAGGACAGGAUCUCCCACUUUUAACGAGCUAUACUUAUGUGACCCAUCAUUUUCAAUAGAACCUUGAUCUUCAAUAUCUGUUGAGAAGAAUGAGGGUGUAGUUGUUCCAGAACCAGUUACACUGGUCACCAAGGGCAGCUUAUCUUCAGUUUCUUUGUAAAGCCAAUGUGCUGCAAGUCCAUGUUCAGCACACUCAUGCAUCCUCUGAAUAUUCAAGAUCAGCAUUUUAGAGCUAGAUAAAAAUAAUGAUAAUCACCACUCUACCGACUAACAGAAGUAAAUGAAAAGGAAAGACCAAAAAGUAAAGCACAUCAAUAUCAAUGAUCGACUGAAAGAUUUGAGGAUAUAAUACCUGGGUUCUUAUUUGAAUUUCCAGAGGUGAGUUGUCGGGACCUUGUACUGCAGUGUGUAGGGACUGAGAUCAGGAGGAGAAUAUAAGGUUGGAUAGCAGUCAGAACAGUGAUUAUGCCACAAAGAUGGCCAAUCUAACUUAAUGAAAACAGUAACCCAUUGAAGUAAAUAAGAAGUUCAAACCUGGUAGCCACUUUGUUUUGGGUUAACAAUGUAGUCAUCAAACUCUCCAUCGAUAGGGGACCAUAGCCUAAACAUUUUGAAAAGCAGAAUAGGUCAAGUUUGAACCUCUAUAAGCACAUAUAUUGACAUGCAUGUUCCGUUGAACUUGAGAAAGUUUAUAGGAUAUCUAAAAAAUAAAUUAAAACAAGCAGAUGAUAUGUAUGCUAUUAAUAAAUGUGCAGAUUCUUCGAAGGGCACAAAUCAUUUCCUCACUAUUAGUACCAUUGCUGCUCACAUAUGUAAUUCAACAACAUGUAACAAAGGUGACAUUCAACAAAAGAAUAUCCAAUCUAUACACCUGUGCACAAUGUUGAGAAGAUUAUAGCAACUCUGAACUGCCUGGCUGUGUAAUGCCCCAUUCUUAUCUCCGACAAUAACCCUCAAUGCACGGGCAUCAUACACUUUGUUUAUGCCAAUUUCUUUCCUUUUCAUCUGUGCCAAGUAAAAUUAAAACGUAAAUUGUCAGUUUUUUCUUUAAAUCUAUAUGACAAAGAAGCAAUGCAUGAGAAGAUAUCCGAUUAUGAAGCAGCAAAAUGAAAAAAGAUAAAUCAACAAAGACCUCAAAAGUCUUGGUAAGUAAACAUCAUUAGCACCACAAGUCCACAAUUGAUUUUCAACUUUUCUGAUAAAUUAUAACAAGAAAUAACUAUGCAUAAUUGUGCUUUAUGAAUUUAUCCUUCUACCUUACUAUAAAUACUAAACAAGCUUUUUAAGCGUCCAGAUAAUGUGACUUCCAUCCCAGGCACAUAUCUGCAACAUAACCAGAUGCAAAAAGUUAAAAAGCAUUAUGAUAGGUCAUGUGGUCUUUUCUUUUACUCCAGAAGUAUUGCAUUGAUUAAUGAGCAAAACAUACGAGGUAGAAAUGAAUAAUUCACGCUCCAAAGCCUCCUCACAAACUACCAGAGUUCCUAGGGCAAAGGCAGCAUCUCUCACGACCUUUGGUGUUGUCUCCAAAUUUGAAUUUGCCACAAGCUUGUUGAAAAAGUCAGUACGCUUCUUUCUAUCUUGUAAAAGAUCAAAAGGAAGUACAGCUUGCAAAAGAACCUGAAGAUUGAGGAUAGUUAGACUCAAAUUUAUUAGUUGUCAGGAGGAGACAUAAACACAGAUAAAGGACUACCUGCCCCAGCCACCCAAGAAAACAGGGUGACAAAAAACUGUUAGAUGAAUGAAUAAUACUGGAUCCUCUUCCCAUAGAGAGAGCAAAAGAAAAGGUUCUGGGUAAAAGUUAAAACUAUCAACUUCUUCAAACAAAAUUAUGAAUCAUAGACUGUACAGGAAUAGGUAAAUUCUAAAUUUUCUAUCAGAAAUUACAAGUUCAGAAAAGAUCAUCAGUUUGUACUUUUAGAAUAACACAAUUCCUGUAAUGCUUCAUUGCCCACCUUUGGUAUCAGUUAGAAAUGCAAAUGAUAUUUUGCACCAGCAAUGCUUUUAGAAGAUCCCAAUAAGAAGUUUCAUUUGAGAAGUUAUACAUAAAAAUGAUAGGGACAAGGCAAACACAAUAUCACCAACGCAGAAGCAUAUGAGCUUGUAUGAUAUGGUGAUUGACAGAAUAAAGAUCAUUUGAAGAGUGACAGGUAACAGAAACAAACAAACCCAAAUUAUCAAUUAAUUAUCACUGCAAUGCAUUCAUAACAAGUUUCACGAAUAGAGAUGAAACAAAAUCUUGAAUUGUCUUCACCUUCAUGCAUAUGUUUUCUUCAUCAGUUUCUGAGGGUUCUUCGUGCUCAGCGGUCACACGUUUCAUUCUCUGGUGCAAAAGGGAGCUGAAUUUGCCAUAUAUUUUUCUUGCAUUGCCUGUCCUGUUUGGAUGGCUCCACAUGGAUGCUAGGUCAGCUCUCAUGCGAAGAAAUAUUUGAGGCUGCAUUAUAUAUUCAUGCUGUUACUAAUUUUGCCUUCUUACAUGACAGCAUUUUCUACAUAAAUGACUAAAACAUGAACGCACCUGAAGCACUGCAAAACAUAGAUCUUCAAGUUCAGCCUUUAAUGCCCAAAGCCCCAAUCUCGAAGCAAGUGAACACCAAAUAGCCAGUGUCUCCUGAGCAACAGCUUGAGCCUUGGCUGGAGGUAAUGCAUAUCUGGAAGAGUUUCAAUGAACAAAAGAUCAGCCACUUCAAUAUUAGAAUCAUGCUUUAGUGUUUAGGAUGAAGGAUUUUCAAAGAAAGAAUAGAAGGGUAAAAGAACUACAACGAAAAAGUGAACAUUUUCCUAACUAUUGAAAUCCAAUUGGACACACACAUGCAUAAAUCAAUCUAACUGACACAAACUAAAACUAGUGGUUCGAAGACUAUACAUGGUUCUCAUGUUGUGAAGACGGUCUGCUAGUUUGAUAAGCACCACACGUGGAUCAUCAACCAUGCCCAGUAGCAUCACUCGUAAAUUAUUUGCCUGUACAUGAAUAUACAUACAAUGAAAUAAAAGAAUAAAGCAUAGCGCAUAACUAACCUACAAACUUCCUAAGUUGCUCGGACUCUCCAAAAAUGUUGCCGCACCGGUGUCGGAUCCUUCAAAAAUACAAUAUUUUUGGAGGAUCCGACACGCACCCGUCGACAUUUUUGAAGAGUCCGAGCAACAUAGCAAACUUCAGGGAAUAAACAAAGCUAUGCUAAAAUGAACGUGCAAAGACCUUUUUUUCGCUGCUCUUAGAACUCAGAAGUCACACUUCUUUGAUAACUUCAGAUAUAAUAAAGAGCUCAACGUGAGAACAAAUAUAAAAUAUGAGAUUGAGGGACAUGACAUCACUUACUGCUUUACAAAAGACUUGGAUGUCAUCACAUCUAUUCAUACAUUAAGUUUUAGUUAAAAACCACGGAAAAGAGUAUGCUGGCAAGAUGGAAGUAGCAGGACUACAUCAAAGAAUACACAAGAAUGAAUGAAGAGCUCUUAUUAGCAACAUGAUCCAAAAAGUCAUCACAUUAUUUCAGAUUCUAUGCAACAGUCAACUAUCUCAACAACAUGCUAGAUGUGUGCAUAUUAGAUAUUUUAAAUGAUGUUAAUGUGCGUUCAAGUACCUCAUCAUAGUUGAUUCACAUUUAACCUUAUUAUCUGUUGAGAAUAUAAUAAAAUAAUAAAAGUGUGCCUCUAACAACUUAAGUUUUUAGAUGAGAUGGUCACACACUUCAACAUUAUCAAUUUUUUCCAAAACGCCAUCACAUUAUUUCAGAUUCUAUGCAAUGGUCAACUAUCUUAACAAAAUGCAAGAUGUCUACAUAUUAGAUAUUUUAAAUGAUCUUAAUUUGCAUUCAAGUACCUCAUCAUGGCUAAGUGCAGCUUGAUUCACAUUUAACCUGCGAUGCCUCCUUAACAGCUGCAUGGAAAAUUUCACUUAAAAGUCGGGACAUAACUGAGAACUAUGAAGAAGACAAGGAAGAAGAAACCAAGCUGCACAUGAAUCGACAAUCCUGUUGGCCAUUUUGGGGUGUCCAUUAUUCCACUCAUCUAAAAGAGAAACUUUUUCCUUUGUACUGUACUCUAUUUCAAAAAUUGUAAGUAUUACGUCAAGUUACAUUUUUUUAAGAAGAGUAAUCUCUAUAUUUCUUUUUGGUUACUUUCAUUUAAAUACAGUGACAUUCAAUUCUUGUUCAGUAUAGAUGUACGGCUAGGAAGGACCACAAUUUUCAGAAUUUAAAUUGAGGCAUAGCAUUGACUCAACAAGUUUCAUAUUUGCAAUGUCCUGAGUUAAAAUCAUAUCACCAUUUCAAGCUAUGACUGAAACCAGAGUUGUAACUUAAAAUCCGCCAUAACUGAUCAUAGUGCAUACAGUACCUGAUUGAUGAAACUUAACCUAGAAACACCUGCUACCAAAUUUGCAACAUCAGCGUCAAACUCUCUCUCUAUAGUGUCCAAACUUUCACCCGUAUCAUCAACCACAUCAUGGAGAAUUCCCGCAACAACCGUAUCAAUGGCCUAUAAAAAAAUUAGCAGUUACAAUGUGCAAAUUCAAUUAGAAGACCUAAAUAAUACAGUGUGCGUAUUACUUUCAACAUAAAUUACAAGAGAACAAAGAACCUAACUAGAUAUAUGUAGAGAGAUACAAAGACUUUCAGGUUAUGUGAGAUGUUGAACAAACUACUGUCAUUAAAAAGACAGAAUUGUACCCUUUUCCCAGUUGGUGGAACCAAGACAGCUACAAUUUUUCCGGUGUGAAUACAAUGUGUUAAAUACGGCUCUCCAGUUCUGCGUAGCUGUCCAUAGUGAGCUUUUCGUGCAAAUGCAAUAGCCUUCUGCACCUGCCUUCACAGAUUCAGAAUUUAGGGCACUAUUGGCAAAUGUGUAUAUUGACAUCAACAAGUGCAAGUUGAGAUGGUAAACCUUAUCAUCGUUGAAGAUGGGGUAUCCAGUGACAUCUACUCCAUCCAACAAGAGUGAUCCUGCAGAAGAAUUACACUUACUUACUAGCCCUUAUGGUGUAUAAUCUUUAUCAGUCCGAUGUUUAACUAAGUAAACGAUAGUAUACUAUCAAGUUCAUAGAAUUCUAUAGAGGGAAUUCAUUGAACAGAUCGUUAACUGAAGAAGCUUCUUCAUCUCCUUUCUAGACAUCUCAGGCACAUGUAAUUCGUACACUUCCAUAUAUCGAAUAGAAUAUAAGACUUCCUCAUAUGCUAUAAAUCUUACACUUCAAUGAAUCAUAUAGAGGGAAAAGUUCAGAACGUACAUAUUAUAAGCAACAAAAGAAAGGAAAAAGUGAGAACUGCUUAUUUAUUAGAGUAGUUGAACAUUUUAAGAAAAUGCAUAAAAUCUAAGGAUUUCCCUAGCAAUAGUUCUAAAGGAAGUUACAGUUUACAGACAGUAAUACAUGCAAAAGUUAGGGGCAAGCUCCCAUUGAAAACUUAUGAAAGGAAAAAGCUCGAGUAUUUGGCUAAAAACAUCCCUCAAAUAUACUCUAAAUUAAACAACAUCCUUUUACUACCACAAUGAGCAAAAAACAUCCCUUAACUAUCCUAAAAAUGGCCAGAUUCACCCUUCCAUCUUUUUUCUUGAUAGAAACUAACGGUUAAAUUCAUUUCCUUACAUGUAAAUGAAGCUAGAAUUAGCUAUGGAUAAAUAUGUGGCGUUUUUCACAUAUUAAAGUUGUAAUUCUUCUCACGUGAAUAUGAUGAAAAAUACAUAGUAAAAUAUUUAUAAAAAUUUCACAUAGUUUGUAUCUUAAGAAGCGAAAAACGUCACAUAAAUUGGAAUAAAAAAAUAUAUUUUUUAUGCAAUAUCUAAAUAUGUUACUUUUAUAUUUUUAAAAAUACAGUAACUAGUGUUUAUCAACAAAAAUAAAAUAAAAAUAGACUACCUUCAUACUUUAAAUUCCCUCAUUGUCUAGGAAAUAAAGAGAAAAUUAUACAUUUUUUUCUUAUAAUAUUUUGUUGCUUAUCUGAUCAGUAAUUAUAUAGAGCGAAAAAUAUUUUACUUGAAUAUUUUGCUCACUUUUUACGGGACAUCCUGGCUGCUACUGUGAAGUUGAGGAUGCAAACCUCUCUUCCUAGCUCAUUCANNNNNNNNNNNNNNNNNNNNNNNNNNNNNNNNNNNNNNNNNNNNNNNNNNNNNNNNNNNNNNNNNNNNNNNNNNNNNNNNNNNNNNNNNNNNNNNNNNNNNNNNNNNNNNNNNNNNNNNNNNNNNNNNNNNNNNNNNNNNNNNNNNNNNNNNNNNNNNNNNNNNNNNNNNNNNNNNNNNNNNNNNNNNNNNNNNNNNNNNNNNNNNNNNNNNNNNNNNNNNNNNNNNNNNNNNNNNNNNNNNNNNNNNNNNNNNNNNNNNNNNNNNNNNNNNNNNNNNNNNNNNNNNNNNNNNNNNNNNNNNNNNNNNNNNNNNNNNNNNNNNNNNNNNNNNNNNNNNNNNNNNNNNNNNNNNNNNNNNNNNNNNNNNNNNNNNNNNNNNNNNNNNNNNNNNNNNNNNNNNNNNNNNNNNNNNNNNNNNNNNNNNNNNNNNNNNNNNNNNNNNNNNNNNNNNNNNNNNNNNNNNNNNNNNNNNNNNNNNNNNNNNNNNNNNNNNNNNNNNNNNNNNNNNNNNNNNNNNNNNNNNNNNNNNNNNNNNNNNNNNNNNNNNNNNNNNNNNNNNNNNNNNNNNNNNNNNNNAAUAUUUUGCUCACUUUUUACGGGACAUCCUGGCUGCUACUGUGAAGUUGAGGAUGCAAACCUCUCUUCCUAGCUCAUUCAAUUUAGUUAGGAUUGUCUAUUACUACUAUAAGCUAAGAGAAGAAUGGGAGCAAACAAAAUAGGGAAUUUGUAGGUUGAUCAACCGUUAGUUUUUUUGACAAAAACUAAUUAAAGGAUGAAUCUUGCCAUUUUUAAGAUAAUUGAGGGAUGUUUUUUGUUCAUUGUGAUAGUGCAAGGAUGUGGUUUAAACAUAGAGUAUAGUUGAGGGAUGUUUUUGGCCAAAAACUCGAAAAAGCUCCAUAGGAACGGCAAAAGGUAUCUACUACAACUUACAAACUUCUGUUACUGUCCCCUGAGGUCAUUGAACUUAAAAGGUGUAAUCCAUAUUGAUAUACUUUUUUCUAGUCUAACAGAACACAAAAAUUCUUCUAAAAUCCAACUGCAGUCAAAGUUGCUUUCCUAAAACAAAAGCUGCCGGCAGUCACAGGGCAACUACUUCUAACGGAAUAUAUACUUCUUCUGCAACUUUAUAUAAAAAGAAAUUAAAAAAAAAUAGGGAGAGGCAGGAAGAAGAAGCUCACCAGGUUGUUCAUCCACUUUGGGCCACAAAAAAUCGACCUUAGUAGAAAGGCAAGCUCCGGAUGCAAUCGCCACCGCGGUGACUGCAACCUGCGUUAUCGCCGACGUAACCGCUCCGUGAACGGAACCACCACUGACCGCCGCUGCCGCAGCAAUCGCGUUACCGGAAGUCAACACAGAGCUUAACGACGAUGAAACAGUGAAUUUGGGCACAAUCUGAUCGAGAACACAUCGGAAUUUUACAUUUCUACGAAGACCUUGACAGGGGAAAAACAGCAACAACGGAUUCUUACGCAAAAUCAAAGCACGUCUGUGGCAAAACAUAGUGGAAUUUUGACAUGAAAGCAUCUCUUGCUUUGAUCGAAAAAUUGAAUCAAAUCAAAGCAAGUGAAAGAAUCGAAACUCCAUGAAAAUUGGAGUUCAACAUGAGAUUUGUGUGAUUUAACAGUAGGUAAUGUGUGGUACAAAGUGAGAGGCCUUUUCUAUACUGGUGGUUGUGAUUUCUUUUUUCUUUUUUAUUCUAUUGAUGAUUAUGAUCGAGAGUGACAGUUGAUCAGUUUAAAAGGGGACAAAUACGAGCAAAAUAAUAAUAAUAGAGAUUGAUAUUAUAUAUAUAAAAAAAAGAAGUUAAAAUUAAGAUAAUUACUUCUUCAAUUGUGCAUGUAUAUCAUAUCUUAACUUUCAAAAGAUUGUGCAUGUUUGUUGCUUUUUUUAACUUGACAUUAAAUUAAAGAAAAUAGAGAAUAUUUUAUUAAAACUAAGAAAGUAGUGUUAGUUUUUCUAUAGAAGAAAGGUCAUAGCAUUGUAAUUGAUCAAAACAUAAACAUUCUCCGUAUGAGCUUCUAAAUGUGAAUAUGUGAUAUUUCAUUAGUUACUUUUUCUGAGCUUCGCUUCACUUCACUUUCACUUGUAACAUAAGUCUAAAUUUCAUAUAUAAAUUUUUAACUUUUUUUCCUAUUUUAGUGAGGGUAAUCCACGUCAUCUCUUUUUUGGUUCUUAUCCCAGCAAACCUAAAAAGGGCAAAUUGGAUCAGCAGGGAGUAGACCUGUUCGUCUUAUCCAAAACAUAAGAAAUAGAAAGAAUUUGUUAUUACACACUCCCUCCGUCCACUUUUAAUCCAUUGGUCGAUCUGCUAUCCGGAACAAACCUUUGUCCAAGUAAUCUUGAAUCAGAUUCCUGAAAUUUACACAAUUAUUUGUAGAGUGAGUCCAUUUCUCGUGCCAUUUACAAUCACAAUUUUCUUUUUUAAAAUCAAACUUUGAUUAAUAUUUUACAAUGUAUUUUUCAUCAUAUUGAUAUACAAAAAAUUACAAUUUAUAAUACUUUUCGUAUAAAUUUAAAAUAUUUAAAUUUUUUGUUUAAAAUAUCAAACUAAUGUAAUCUAACUUAACUUUAAAAAUUAGUCAAAAUUGACUUUUGAAAAGUGCAAUAUGACAAUUAAAAGUGGACGGAGGGAGUAUUUCUCUAUUGGUGAAACUAGUCGAUCUAAAUUAUGACAGCAAAUAUUGUAGCAAAAGGUAAGUUUAUAUCUCCACUCAUACAUAAUUCGAAUUGAAAUGACAAUGGCAUUGCUCUUCUUUCUCCAGAACUUACUGUUGGCAUUGCUUAGAGAACCCACCACAACUUUAACAAAUAUGGAACUAAUUGCGUUAAAAGAAAUUUAACUCAAAACUGGCACAAUGAAAGAUGGAGACAAAAAAUCUUGUGUUGGGCAUCAGUAGACUAGAUGAUUAGUCACCAUAUUCACAUGGAAGUAUACUGCAGUCGGUAUCAACAGAAGCAUUCAUAGUGUCUGGUUAGCAUAAUCUGCAAGGCCCAGGUUUCAAAUAUACAACAGAAUCAAAGACCAAGAAUCACACUUGAUCAAGGAAACAAGUGCCUUAUCUGCUCCACUAGCAUUAAAAACACAGAUCUAAGAAGAGAAGGGUAAACACUGUGAUCGAGAGGUCAUGAUCCUCCAAUUUAUAAAUAGCCGGAUGUUCAGUGAUGCCCCUCGAAAAAGAGGUUCAAGUUCUUUAGUAAGCCUGCAAAAGGUCUUGGGUAGUUAGAUAAGCAGCUUAUGGAUAGUAGCUACAACUGUGUAAGACUUCCAGGUUAGGUCUAAACCUGAUCACUCAGAAGGAUGAAGGGCCUAUGGAAGAGAAUCCGGCGGCCUUGUGUUCUUUUAAAGUGCUGGCUAACCAGUCCAAUCCCUCGUAUAGGCCAUCCCCUCUAAGAGCACAUGUACCUUGUAUAUGCCAUUUUCGGUUUUUAAGCUCAUAGAGACCAAGGCCUUCACACACUUCCAUUGGUGUCAUUGCUCCUUUCUGGACAAAAAAAAAAUUCAAGAUAAAAGUUCUACCCAACACUAAAAGGGAGGAAAUGUCAUGUUGAUAGAUGAAAAUUUUAAUUUCUUGCUAAUAGGUGAUACAUGAAACAUUCAUCAUAAUUUGUAUGUUGUUUGGUAUAAUUAGCAGGGAAAUAAAAGAGAUCUAACUCGUCCCCACUCCCCAUACAGUGUUGAAGGGUCUGAAAGAACUGCUAUUGAGGGAUUAGACACUUUCCACCUUCAUUUCCUAACCAAAUGAGAGGAUUAGGUGGAACCAUCACAUCCAUCUUUAAAUUCUCCUACCACUGUACAACUUUUCAUCCUAAUGAUUACUGUGCAAGACAUUUUUGUUGAUGAAGCUGUGCAAGACAGUGAUAUUAGAAAAACAAACAACCAGCAGAUUUGAAACCAUCAAGCAGGUGAUGGUGCAAGAGUGAACUAAAACUGACUUUAUGAUUCAAAACAUCACAAGGAUAGAGAGAACAAUUUCUAUUGCAGAAUGGUAUGGUUUUUUCUAAAAUCUACCCUAUCCGCUAAAAAUCCUCACCCCACCCCACCAAGCUUUACGAAUCAGCAGUAGUUGCCCACUUUUUCCCCUAGUACGCAAUACGAACUCCCAGACAAAUGGUCAGGUGAAGGGCUCUACCAUUAGAGCAACCCUCUCAUUUCAGAUGGUAUGUAAGUUCUCAGAUCACAGUUAGACAGGAAUAGACUGUUCAUGUGACACAUAAAAACCCAAAAUCACCAGAGGACAAACCUUGGUGCACACAACAGGUAGCUAAAACAUAAUUAAAUGCAAGUUUGUUGGAUCCAGAUCUUUUUUUUUUCUUUUUGAUAGUUUUGUUGGAUCCGAAGUUUUAUUCAAUGUUGAAAGAAUUGCACAUUUAAAGAUAAUCAUUUGUUUUUUUACUAGUUUAGGAUUUUCACAAGAAUACUUAGAGGUUUGCUAGCAGUAGUGAAUUAAAGCGACCAGCCAUUAAGGGGAUACUUUAGUAAAAGAUAUAUCUAGAACAGUGUUUCUAAAAGCAAAAAAGAGCAAACAAACCGAUAAAGGUCCUGUGAUUUUAAGGGAGCAGUGAGAGGCAAGACACAAAUUUUUUUAAAGCACACAAUUAAUAAAUACAAAAAGUUACCUAACAUAUAAAUACUAUUUAUAGCAAUCAUAUUGCAGUUAAUGUUGCUGAUUUCAGCAUGCAAUUACUAACAUUACAGUAUAAAUAUUAAAUACCAACACCACUAUUCAACAUAAUAGAAGCUAAUAUCGACAAAUCCACAAAAAGUUCCAAUUACAGAAUAUAUUUAAUUUUCAGCCAAUCAGUAGUGAAAGAAUUAUUUUGCAUCAUUUAACAUACAUCAUAGUUUUAUUGCUUUAUCAACAAUAACAAUAACCAGCUUUCUUCAUUUAAAAUUUAAAGAAAAAUUAAUUUAUGUGAUUUCUUUUAUGUACUCUCUCUUUUUAAUUUUCCUAACAAUAGCCCCAUAUGUGAGGAAAUGGAUAAUCAAGAAUGAGAGAGUAAACAGGUAAGGGAUAGAGCAAAACCAUUGUAGAAAGAGAGAUAAUUAAAAAGAGAACUGAAUUAGAAAAUGAGAAGUAGUAGCAGAAGAAGAAAAGAUCAAGAGAAGAAAAAGAAGAGAGCUAAAGAAGCUUCGGGGAAACCGAAGUAGAAGAAGAGUCCUCACACACUAGAAGCAGGAAGGGAAAAGAAGGCUGAAACUUAGAUGUCACUCAAAUUUCCCCCUUUUUUACUUAUAAGGUCUAAAGAAAUGAGAAAUUCUCACAUAGAUUUCUUUGCACUUCUUCAUCUUCUUCUUUUUUUGAUAACCGAGAAAUCCGUCUGUGACCCACCCUUUGGACCAAUCACAGCCUUCUAAACUCGGUGGAUAAUGGGCCCGCCCCUCUACCCUUCUCCACUUAAAUACCGGGCUUCGCUUUGCAUGGUGUGGGGCUUGAACCUGCGACCUAAGCCACAAAUCCUCCACCUUUUGCCACUUGAGCUAGGCCUUGGGGGCCACUUCUUCUUCUUCACCUUUUAGAUGCACAAUCCCUUGCUUCGCGGUGCUCUAUUGCUUUUAAGUGACAAAAAUCUUGUCUUUCUUUUGAAACACUUUUAAAGAAGCUCACCCAGCCACAAAAAAUCAGCAACCAGUUUUACAAUAUCGAUGGAGCCAAGAAAUGCAAUGAUUAUGGAGGUCUACUUUCUGAAGGUUUUAUUGAAAAGACAGAAAGAAAAAGGAAAAAAGAAUGAGCUGUUUCUUUGGUCAAAUUGGAAAGCAGUAAAGAGAAAUAAGGGCAGUUGCGUGCACUUGUUCAUUGGAGACCAUAUUAACCUACAUUGAUUACCGGAGAAUACAGAAAAAGACACCAGUUUGGUUUCACUAAUCAAGAACCAGAGUACAUGCGUUAAGUCUGCUUAGAUUUAGGUUGAACCUAUCUUAUGAGAUAUGGGCAUAGCUAGGUUACACAAUAAUCAAGGAGUUGAGGCCUUAGGUAUAUCAUCCUCAUGCACAGGAAACUUUAGUUAACACACUACACAGGGAACAUCUCAAAGUCCAGAACAAUGGAAAUGAUAAAUUGCUAAAUAGCACCCACAAUACCUUUGAACCUCUAUUUUCUUGGGUUCAUUUAAUAGUUUUAGCCUAACUUUGUCUAAAGACCAGUAAAAAGAGCAAAAUAGAAAAUAAGCAUUUAAUUAUAUUAUGUGGACGAGGAAACAUACUGGAACAAAAGAAACUUACCAUGUCUUGUUUGUUAGCAAAAACCAAGAUGAUUGCAUUAAGCAUAAAUGGAUCUCUGAUGAUGGCCUGAAAACACAUGAUAAAGGCCAUUAGAUAAUGUCACCAACAAAGAAGUCCGGGCCAUAAUAUUAAUGUUCAGUAAAAAAACCUGAAAUUCUAGUUUUGCCUUUCCAAUCCUUUCUCGAUCCAAAGAGUCGACGACAUAAAUCUGUAUAAGAUAAAACACUUAGUAAAGCGAUACUGUAUCCAGUUUAGAGAGACAGUAUGUCCAAACAAGAAAUUGUCAUAAACAAGGGAGCUGAUAAAGCUUUGUCAAUCAUGGGGAAAUGGGCCUAUACAUUUAAUAUUAUAUGCUUAUUUUGUGCACCAAAGUCAAACAUUUUGAUUAAAAAAAUUCAUGUGUUAUCUUAUUUGAAAUAUUCAUCUCUUCUCAAUCCCUUGUUUCCUUCUGUGUGGUCUGUGGGUGAGGAUGAGAAGGAGAAGGAAAGAAACUUGACGCCAAGAGUUGAAGGAAGAAGGAUACAAAUGAAUGUACGGUUAGAUCCUUAAACAGUAAUCCCAUCAUACUCAAAAUUGUAAAUUCUUCUGUGCUUUUAGGCAAUGUUACCUCCCAAUGAACCAAGGGAAAAUUUUACUUUAGCCCCAGGCGUUUAUGUGAUAUCAGGAGUUAGAUGCAACUGAGUGCAAACUAAAGAAAUAUCUGGCAAAUAAGAGCAGAAACCAAAUACUACUCCCUCAGUCCCAACCCAAUUUAUGUGAUGGUGUUUGACUGGACACGAAGUUUAAGAAUGAAAGAAAGACUUAUGAAUCGUGUGGUCUAAAAUAAGCAUUGAUAUUUGUGUACUAUAAUCAUCUCAUAAAGGGUAAAAUAACAUUUUAAAGUUAGAUUAUUACUAAAUUUAAAAAUGUCACUCUUUUUGGGACUGACUAAAAAGGAAAGAGUGUCAGACAAAGGGAGUAUCUAUUUUCUACUGAGAAAUAGAAACCAAAGAAUGUGCAGGACUGGAAGCUUGAUGAACUACUCAACAAACUUGAAAGACGGGAGAGCUGCAAAGUCAACGAACAUAGUUCAGACAGACUAAGAUGGGGUGAUAAAGCUGAUGAUCUCAACUAGUUAAAGCAUGAAAUUCAUUCAUUUGUGCCCAUAAUGAGAUGGUGGAUACUUGACCAUGGAAACUAAUAUUUUUUUUUGAGAAUGGUAACAUUAGUCUAUAUAUCCACAUGUAUACUACAUCAAAAAUGUGGUCCCCCUUCAAAAGGAUUACAGCUUACAUCUCUGCUUCUAUCUAGAUGGAAACUAAUUUGGAAAACAAUGCUACUUGUUACCCCCAAAAGUGAUUUGUUUCAGCUGGACAAACUGAUUGAAGCAUGUUUGUCCCAAGAGAAUAUUAGCAGAAGGAGUAUCCAUAUAAUCAAUAGAUGUUAUACGUGUCAGCAUAGAAACCAACAGGCACCUCUUUUUACACUGUACAAUCAUGCCUGAAAAUAUCAAGGAUCCUAUAUGUGUUGGAGUUCUUGGAAAGAUGGUAGGUCCAUCAACAAAAUCUGAAAACUGAUUCUUGCUUGUAUCUUUUGUUGUGUAUGGACAGAAAGGAAUAAAAGAUGUUUUGAUGAAAUACCAACUCUAAGCCACUCCCUUAAGGCUAGUCCUCUGACACAUUUUUGGACUUUAUAGCUCCCUAUCGGAAGUAUAGGACCCCCUGUAAUGGAGCUAACAAAAUCACUUUUGUACUUAUCUAUCUUUUGAACUAUUUGCAUCUUCUUGAUUCCAUCACUGAAACAACUUCAUCAAAAGAAAUAAAUAAAAAACAAAUACUCCCUCCGUUUCACAAAGAAUGACCUCCUUUCCUUUUUAGUCAGUUUCAAAAAGAAUGACCUCUUUUCUUUUUUGGUAACAUUUUACUUUUUGCUUUCCACGUGGCAUGUUUAAGACCACAAGAUUAAGGGCAAUUUUGUACACUUGACAUAACUUUAAUUUAGAACCACAAGAUUCAAAAGUCUUCUUUAUUUACUUAAACUCCGUGCCAAGUCAAACCAAGUCAUUCUUUGUGAAACGGAGGAAGUACUAUAUAAUGGGUGUAGUUACCAGUCCAUCUGUGUUAUUGAAGUAAUGCCUCCACAGUGGCCUUAAUUUUUCUUGUCCACCAACAUCCCACACUGUAAAAAUUACAUUUUUGUACUGCACUUUUUCCACAUUGAAUCCUGCAAGACAUGCAUAUACAAUCAUCUAUUAUAAUGGUUUCAAACGCACAGACGGUAUUCAGAUAGUGACAGGUAUUUUAGGUAUUUUUCUCUGAGAACUUCCGAAGAAAUUUUCACGUCAAAACUCAAGAUUUCAAACUACCCUUGCGCAAAUUUUAUGUUUAGAUAAUAAGCAAUGACAGAAUUAAAAAACCAUAACCUAUGGUAAGCCACAUAUGAUCAAAUCUGAGCUCCAAGAUGUGACUAACAAAGUAAUUUAAGAAAAUGAAAAGGAUUACCAUACGAAAGAAGAGAUGUAGGAAGUAUGUGACUUAUCCCCCCCAAAAUAAAGAUGUAGAAAGUAUGUCAUGUAAUCAAGUGUUGCACCUGAUCACUGGGAGGCAGUUUGCAAGUAAAGAGCAAGUAAGUUAGAUAGGAGGAGCCAGCAUCCAUUACAGUUCAAUUAACUAUUUUGGUUAGCAUUCAAUUUCUCAAGAAAGUUCAUGAAGUAGGAAGUACCGGCCACUUUCGGGAAUUUGUAAUGAACUAAUGAUGACCAAUAAAAAGUAUUAAACUGUAGUUUCCUACAAGUUCUUUCCCCAUCUUUAUUUUAUUUUAUUUUGAUAACAGUAGUAUCUGGAACACCUUGCGCGCAUUUUGGCUAACCCACCGGGUACCUGCUACCUCCCACCCGCGCAUGUACUGAUAACUCUGUAAAGCAACGAGAAACAAAAAAGAAAGCAACAGCGAGCAGAAGCUAAGCUAAGACAGAUAUUACCAAGCAGAUCUAUUGAAUUUUUUCUUCCUUUUUUUAAUGAAGAGCAUAUCUAUUGAAGUUUUACAAAUACAAACUUCACAAUCAAAGUGCCACACAACAGUGAGCAGAAGCUAAGACAGCAUACCGAUGGUAGGGACUGUUGAUAGAACUUCUCCUAUGUGCAGUUUGUAUAAUAUAGUUGUUUUUCCAGCCGCAUCUAGCCCAAGCAUUACAACCUGUCCCAGUUGAAAUUGUAACCAGAGACGAGCAAAUAACAGAAGAGACAUCAAUAUGAAAUAAGAUAACAAAACCUUAAAAAAAUUUACACAUACAAGCAGAAAAACCCAAUAUCUAUAAAAUACAGCUCCUACAGGAAACAAGAUGAAACUCAGGUUGGUAAACAUAGGUAGAAAUGCGAGUUCUCGAAGAGUGGAUGAUAAAAAAUGCAUGCUUAGAUUAAUUAUCACUUCUAUUGCAGAAAAUGAAUUUUAGCUACAAAAACCAGACCAAUUAGAAGCAGUUAUUAGUUAAGAGAGAGGACAAUAGUCACUAAGGGAAGUACAUUGGUUUUGCCCUAAGAAACCCUCAUCCCAUUCCCUCCAUAUUUCAACACAUUGGACGUUGUACUACUAACCUAAGGAAGAAAAUUUUAUUUGAUGAUUUUUCAUAUCUGGGGAUGACACUGACUAGGAUCACAUCAUCAAUGACAUGGUUAAGGUACCUAUAAAUUUAUUAAGAGCCUGUUUAGCCUCCCUGAAUUUAAAAACUGGCUACCCUGUCUACACUUAAGGUCUUUCUUGAAGGGGAAAAUGGAAAAACAGCAUUCCGAGUUAGCAAUUCUAAUUUUGUAGCUAGUAUCUUGCAUCAAAAAAAUUUCAAUUCCAACUAGUUCGGGGAGGCUAUAUGAAUCCUCUGUAACUGUACCACUCCAUUACGGCUCCUUUCAUUCUAAAUCUUAGUAAUUUGCCUGUUGAAGCAAACUCAAAGUUCUCCAAAUUAAAGAUUCCCUAAAUCUCACAUUGUUACACCAACAUGUAAGUCUCUAACUAGACUAACAAACUCUUUGCUUUCCCAGUGAUGUAUAUUUUUUAUUUCUUACUCUUUAUAGCAUAUGAUCAAUCACCACCUACAUAUCUCUCACAUGUUUUUGCUGAACUGACCAUGAGCAGUUCUCUAUUUCAAUUAAACUACUUUGGUGUUUCUACGAACAUAAAAAGAUCUUCAACUAUUUGCAUCACUAAAACCAUGUUCAAACAUUAGAUACAACAGUGCAUCCAAUUGAAGUUAGAAAGGAAGAAACCUUGAAGGAGCCUACUAGAUGCAGUAAGUGCAUACCAAAUAAUGCUAACAUAGGUCUGGUAAUGGAAGAAAAACAAUGUCAAUCAAUCUUUCUAACUUGCAAUUAUUAACACGAAAAAAUGGAUCAUACGUCCCAGUGUCAAUCAAAAGUUUUCUAACUCAUACAUAAAAGAACAUACUGUUGCACAGACUAAUUCUAUUAAAAUACUUCACAUCAGCACAAUUCAGCUAAAUACAGUUAGUUUUGCCUCAAACAAUCUUCGUAAAAUACUUCACAUAUCUUUCUAAGGAGCUACAAACAAGUGCAGAAAGCAUAUAAUGACGCAAAUUCCCAAAUAGAUCAAAUUAUAACGGAAAAUAAGAGGAGAAAGGGGAUUGUUAUAAUACCCUCAUCUCAGAAUUGCCGAAGAAAGUAUCGAACAGCUUGCGAAAGGCUUGCCCCAUUUUGCCUCUCCGCGAAUCAGAAGAAACUGGAGAGUAAAGCUUCAACCACAGAGGAAUACUAUGUUUUGAUGAUCGAUUUGAGACGAAACUUACACAAGCUUCAACAGAAGCUAGCCUUGUUUUUGCUGGCGACCUCUCUGUUUCUAUUAUUUGCUGUAUUUUUAUUUUCCUUCGCUGUUGUAUCUGUUUAACACAUCAUAAUUGACUUUUCUCUGUCCCUUUCUCUUUUUCCCCUUUCUUUGUUUCUAGAAGAAAUAGAAUUCGCAAUCGCAUCACCAUUUGAGUGUUGUUAAUUUAGCUGCAAUAAUAUUUCGACGGAAUAGAAUAACAUUAUUAUUUUUACUAAAUAUAUAAAAAGACGAUUGAACAUUUCAUACAUAAAGUUGUGGACAAAAUCAAUGUUAAAAAAUAGGGAAAGAUUUAGAGGAGGACUAAAAGUGCAUCAAUAUUGCAAGCAUGAGGGACUAUUAGUGCUCUAUGUAAAAACUCAAGGAUGAUUUUGAGUCUUAACCUAAACAUAAGGGAUUAUUUUGAGCUUUUUCUCGUUUCUUUUUUCUGAAUGCUCUUUAUUGAUUUUCUUAUUAAGAGCAUGUGUUGGUAUUGCUGCUAAAAAUUGUUAGCACUUUUUUAAAAUAACUUUUUAGAAAAGUGCUUUUGAACAAAAAACAAUUUGUGUUUGACUAAUUCAUUUGAAAAAUGUUUUUUAUAAGCAAAUUGUGUUUAGUGUUGUAAAACUUAAGACUAAAAGAACAAUAUAAAGAUGAAGACAAGAAGAAUAUAAGACAAGAGGAACAAUAUAAUAUAAUUUUCUUCCUUUCAAGUGUUCACCAAUUCUUCAAGUGUAUACAAUAUGAACUCUUAUGCCUCUAUUUAUAGUGUAACAUAGAGGCAUACAAAAGGUUAGUCAUAAACAUGACAUUACCAUGAAUAUAAUGGGGGAGGUUAUGGAAGUGAAAAGUUACAAGAAUAAUGGUUAUAAAGGUGGAGGUUAUGGAGGUUAUUGUUAUCUUCAUAAUGGAGGAAAGUAAUGGAGUAACUUCUUGAUGUAGUGGACAUCCAUAAUAUAUUAUUUUAUAAAACUCCCUCUUGGAUGUCCAUAGAUAAUAUGUCUCGUUAAAACCUUACUAGGAAAAAACCAUGUGGGAAAAAAUCCUAGUGAAGGAAAAAGAGUACACAUAUCUUUUAAUACGCUUUGAAUGUUGCCUCGUAAAAAACCUUACCAGAAAAACCCAAUUGGGAUAAAACCAUGGUUAAGGAAAGAGUACAACGCGUAUUUUUCUCCCCCUAAUAAAAACUUUAACUUGAUAUCUCGGAACAAUGCAUUCCAAUCUUGUAUCACAACUUCUCAAAUAUUGAUGUUGGCAAUCUUUAGUGAAUAAGUUUACAAGAUUAUCACUUGAAUGGAUCUUUGAACGUCUAUCUCACCAUUUUGUUGAAGAUCGUGUGUGAAAAAGACUUUUGGUGAAAUAUAUUUUUACUGAUCUCCUUUGAUUGUAUUCUCCCUUCAAUUGAGCUAUAUAUCAUUUUCGUAUAUGGUGGGUGGAAUAUCCUUUUCAAAAGAAAAUCACAUAUUUUCUGAAUAUGAUAGAUCAUGAUUCCAACCAAACACACUCUCAACUUAAUUCAUAGAUCAAUAUUAUUUCUGCAUGAUUUGAAGAAUUGGUUACUAAUGUGAUGAUUCUUUGAAUUUCCAACAUAUUGUUGUGUCUCCAUAUGUAAAUAAUAGUCCAUUUGCGAUCGAGCUUUAUGCAGAUCAAAUAAAUAUUCUACAUCUACAUAAUCAAAUCAUUUCUGACUCUGGGAUUGAUCAUUUCAAUUUUAUUGAAGCUCGUCUUUUCUUCUGAAAGAAAAUCAUACAUCUUCUAUGUGUUGAGUCACUUGCUUUGUUAGUUUCUUGUCAUAACUUGAAUGAUACUAUGACAAUAUUUUCACAUAACUUUCGUUAUGUAUAUCAAAUAAUCUUCUAGCAUUUGCAUAACCAGCAAUCUAUAAGUGCACCAAUUGCACUAAUACAUGACAUUUUAAAAUCAUUUUUCAUGAGAUCAAAAAGAUCUUUCUAUGUGUUAAGCAGUCUCAAAACCAUUGGGUACUCAAUGAAAUUGCUUUAAGACCUUUUAAAUCCCUUUCAAGGAUUUUCAUAUAACCUUCAUCGUCUAGUUAGAUCUAAUAAUCAUUCAUUAUACAUAUUCAAAUAUUUCAUCUAUUUCCAUACUGAAACAAGUCUCAUUGCAUCCACCACUGGAGAAUAUAUCUCCAUCUAAUUAUGUCAGGAUUUUUGCGAAAAUCCUUUAUUCCCCGAGGCACAAACCGCACUUUAUAUCUUACAGUUAUACUUUCGCACAAUGAUUCAUUUGUACCACACUGACAUUAUAUUUUGAUCCAUGAACUAUAUGAUCAAAAACAUCACUUUUCUAAGUGAAACAAAAUAUACUUGAAUAGUGCCAAUAAUUAUUUGUCCACACUAUAUGACAGAUUUGAAUUUAAGAUCCUCGUAACCAUUUAUAGCAUUGAGUGCUACUUCAUAUCAAAGCUACCGUCGACGGUCAUUUUAAUAUCGAUUCCAAUACGACAUAACUUAUCGAGAUCUCUUUAUUUUUUAUCAUUUUCAGGUACCUGAACCUUUGCCAAGGUUUUAUGAAGUGUUAUGUCAUAGUGCUCUUUCAAAGCACUUACCUCAUUAUCAUGACCAUUUUGAUAAUUUUCUCCUCUCAUUCCUCAAGGAGUUUUACAUUUGGAAUCGAUUGAUCUAGCACGCUUCUGGCGUACCAUAGACUCCGUCCUUUAAGGACUAUUUAUUGGAGCAUUUGUAGCUUAAUUAAAAUAUUGGGUCAACAAAUACAUCUGACAAAUUAUUUGCAACAUUUUGCAAAUGAAUUAUAUCUUGAACUUCAAGUUCACAUUUUUUUAACGAGGAUCUAGAUAAUUCAUCCCACACAUAUUUUUGUAAGUUGAUACAAAUGCACAUGUGACCAUACCAUAGAUUGCAUCUAUUAAAUCAUAAUAGGAAGCGGUCCACAUGACAGGUGAAUGGGCCCAUAUUCACCUUUUUGUAUGUUCCAUAUAAUUUCAGGGGAUACAAUCCCAACCUUAGCUGGUACAAUGAUCAUUUUAUCAUGAGAACAAGCAACACAUGAGAAUCCUUGAAGAAUCUUUUAUUUCUUCAACAUAUAACCACAUGAAUUCUCAAUUCUUUUGCAUCACAUUUGAACCGAAAUGGUCAAUUGGUUAUGCCAACUGAUAUUUAUUCUAGUAAACUUCUAGUUUACUUUUGCAUGUGAUUCCAUCAUCGUGCCUAUAUUUGUAUUACAACAAACAAGAGAAAGACGGGUAACCUUUUAUGUAAAUAUUCAUAACCCGCUUUGAUUGUAGUAAUCUGAAGAUAUUUAAUCUUUCAAUAAUUUAUAGUCGAAAUAUAAUAAUUUGUUUUCAAUUCCUCUANNNNNNNNNNNNNNNNNNNNNNNNNNNNNNNNNNNNNNNNNNNNNNNNNNNNNNNNNNNNNNNNNNNNNNNNNNNNNNNNNNNNNNNNNNNNNNNNNNNNNNNNNNNNNNNNNNNNNNNNNNNNNNNNNNNNNNNNNNNNNNNNNNNNNNNNNNNNNNNNNNNNNNNNNNNNNNNNNNNNNNNNNNNNNNNNNNNNNNNNNNNNNNNNNNNNNNNNNNNNNNNNNNNNNNNNNNNNNNNNNNNNNNNNNNNNNNNNNNNNNNNNNNNNNNNNNNNNNNNNNNNNNNNNNNNNNNNNNNNNNNNNNNNNNNNNNNNNNNNNNNNNNNNNNNNNNNNNNNNNNNNNNNNNNNNNNNNNNNNNNNNNNNNNNNNNNNNNNNNNNNNNNNNNNNNNNNNNNNNNNNNNNNNNNNNNNNNNNNNNNNNNNNNNNNNNNNNNNNNNNNNNNNNNNNNNNNNNNNNNNNNNNNNNNNNNNNNNNNNNNNNNNNNNNNNNNNNNNNNNNNNNNNNNNNNNNNNNNNNNNNNNNNNNNNAAAUGAACCAUAACCAUUUGUACAUGCUCCAUGAGUUUUUAUCAGAAACUCAUUGUCAUGCUCUGACAUUAUUAAAUUUAUGUGACUCACCUCAACAUCACUUUAAGAGGUCAAAUGUACCAAAUGUACUACCUCUUUGUAUUCCUUUAUUUUGAUGGAGAUUUACAAAACUUUUCAAAUUUGGGUUACACCAACAGCAAUGUGCCAAUAACUUUUCAUGCUACUUUGAUGGAUAAAAAUUACCUUCACAUUUGAAGGACCAUCUUAAGAACCCAUAAUGUUCUUUCUUUUAAUUACCACAAUGAUGACCAUCAAUAUUUUACCAUACUCAUAUUCAUGCAUUUAACCACUUGUCAUUUUGAGACACAUUAUGUCCUGCUACCACAUUCACAUAAGAGAAUGGAGCAAAUCAAUUGGGCAAAGUUCAUGACUUUCAGUCAAAAGUAUACAACUUUAUGUUAGUUAUCACCAUAUCAUCACUAUAGUGCAUUAGGACUUAAACCCAAUGUCUUGCCCAUAUAAAGACGUCUUUGGUCAUAAAUCAAUGGGACUUGAACCCAAUUUCUUAUUAUCAUGACGCACCCAAACUUUAAUUCGAUGUCUUACCCACUUAGUGCGAUUAAACUUGUAUUCAUCGUCUUACCCUCAAUCAUUUUAAAAUAACCACAAAAUAAACUUUAGUUAGUACAAAUAAUAUAUUAAUAACUCCACAAGUAAAUGUUUAGAUGAAGAAAAAUAAAUCGGUACAAAAGUAACCUAUAAUGAUGAUCCAAUCAAUAUGUAUAUGCCACAUAACUCAAUAACUUAUCUUAUAAUAAAACAAGAUCAUAAAGAACAAUUUCUUUACAAAUUAUUAACUUACAAAACUAACUUUACUUUUUAAAUAUAUAGUGAUUAAAUUAAAAGUUUGCUCAAAGUAAAAGCAACUUGCUAGGCUCAUAUGAUUUUGAGAUGGUAAGAAAACUAAUGAUGCAUAAUCAAAAGUAAAAUAUAAAAUAAAUUAUAUAGUAGUUUACCUUGUUCCCGAGAGAAAAAUAAACACAAAUAUUUUUACCUUCUUUAUAUUUACUUUGCUUCAAUCCUUCAAUUGUAGACAAUCGUGCUGAUAACGUAUUGUAAAACUUAAGACUAAAAGAACAAUAUAAAGAUGAAGACAAGAAGAAUAUAAGACAAGAGGAACAAUAUAAGAUAAUUUUCUUCCUUUCAAGUGUUCACCAAUUCUUCAAGUGUAUACAAUAUGAAACUCUUAUGCCUCUAUUUAUAGUGUAACAUAGAGGCAUACAAAAGGUUAGUCAUAAACAUGACAUUAACAUGAAUAUAAUGGGGGAGGUUAUGGAAGUGAAAAGUUACAAGAAUAAUGGUUAUAAAGGUGGAGGUUAUGGAGGUUAUUGUUAUCUUCAUAAUGGAGGAAAGUAAUGGAGUAACUUCUUGAUGUAGUGGAUAUCCAUAAUAUAUUAUUUUAUAACAUUUAGCGAAUCUUUUUUAAAAGUGCUUUUGAGAGUCAAAUUACGAUUAAGGGUAAAUAUUAAUGUAUUUUUAAUACUAAAAUUAUUUUAUACAGAGAAAUUAGUUUAAACAUCAAUUACAAAAAAAAAAUUAAAUUUUUAUUUUUCUUAAAUUAAAUUAAAAUGUUCAUAUUCAAAUUUUCAAUCUAUAUUAUACAUUUUUUUGAAGGGUUAAAAUCUGUAAUUGUUAUUUUUCUUUUCUAAUCUUACAAAAAAAAAAAUCAAUUAUAAUCUUACAAAAAUAUUAUUGUUACCUUCUUCUCUUUUUUUAGUUAUGCAAAAUAAUACGUAAAAUAAUAAUACAUAAACAUAAAAUAUAAAAUUUAUUAUAUAAAAUUUCCUUUUAGUCUUGAAAAAAAAUAAUUUUCUGCUUCUGCUUUUUUUAAGAAGCAGAAAUUUUUAGCUUUUUUCCAACAGCAGAAAAACUAUUUCUGCUUCCAUUUAAAAGCAGUUAGUUUUACAGGUUUGUCAAACAUCUAUAGUUUUUUCUCAAAUAAGUGUUUAUGAGCUCCCAACAGCAAUGUCAAGCAAGUCGUUUGUUUUUUCAUUAGAAAAGAAACAAGAACAAAUAAUGUAGUAAUUGAAAAGGAAAUACAUGAUACAUGUGUAAGACUAACACUACACUCUCGGACUACCACCAAGCCUGAACCCACUAUGAAAAACGAAUCAACACUCAAUUAUCUACAUUACACUAAUUUAUCUUUGAUAAGCUAAAGUUACGCCAGAUCCUAUUUAAUCACCUCUUCUCAAUACAUUUUUGAUGUACCUCUAAAUCACAUAUUUCUUCAAACCAUUUCAGUCUCACUUUCCUCAUUUCAUUGCAACUAAUCAAAGUGACAUUUUCAAAACAUACCAUAUAGGCUGCAUUUCGUAUGCACUUUCUACAUUAGUCCUACAUUUCUUUCUUUCCUUCAAAUUUGUUAGGCAUUCAAUAAAUUUGGAAGAGUCUGCGUCCUAAACAGACAACGAAAAAAGGGAAGAAUAAAAAAAGCACGUCAACCAUAGACACUUGAUCAAGCCGUCAAAGCAUAAUACUAUUUUAUACGUUCCUAUUUGGAGAGGAGUUUCAGCAAGAACGAAGCAAAUAAAAUAAAAAUAAAAUAAUAAUCUAUGCUCUCUAACUGUUUUACUUUUUAAUCCUUUAUUAGCAACAUCCAGCGGCAAUGUUGCGUAAUGAAACAGAGACAUGGAAUGGCUCUGUUGUUUUGCACGCCUGCAGAGAGACUCCAAAAGUACCGACGCUCAAUCAAAAAAAGCACGAUCAACUAUAUGCUUAACUCAUGCCCCAGAAAUCCGUAACAGAGAGAGAGGACCGAGACUCUCCCGCCCCUUUGACAGCAAUUCCUGCACUUGACGUCGGAUCUCCUCAUUGGAAAAUGGGGAUAAGCGAGAAGCCGCCCUAAAGUUUGAUGACAAUUCAGAAAUGGCAUUCAUUGAUACAUUUCCAACGAAGCAACAUAUACCAGUAAUAAGGCAAUAACUAAAAAUAUACUUCUGCAUAUUGUGUAAAAAUACACUGCCGUUGUCCACCAAAAACCAAAAAUGAUUACUGCACAACCGGCCAAUGCCUGUAUACAUUAAUAAACCUACUCUCGAUGGCAGAUGUCGAGGUCAACUAAAUAAUCCAUCAAUUCCUCUAGCCAACUACAGUAUCGAAAAUGAAACCAUGAAUGUCCAUACACAUGUUGUAUUCCUAGAUUAGGAUCUAACUACCUAGACCCAGCCAACACUUUCCUUGAAUCACUGCCACAAGACCGAGAGAUCACUUUCAGUACUAAUGUGAGAAUUUUUGCAACACAACAGAACUUGAAAAAAAAAAAAUAGGAUGUGCUGGCCACUAAAGUUUGUGAUUUAAACACUCCAAGCACCCACACCGCCUUCAGGGGUAUAAACGGGUAUAUGUGAAUCUGAAUCUCAUGAAUCCACCAUUUCAUCUUGUAUCUCGUUGGGUGCAAUUAGACCAGGAAUAGAACGCAUCCGCUGACGUUCCCUCUCUCUCUGAGCAGCUGCUUCCUCGGCAUAGAGGUCC